rnacentral:lncRNA from 1 species
UUUUUUUUAAAUGUACACAUCUAGAAUAUAAAUAAAAUUAGAACAAGGAAACACGAUACUGCAGUGACAUCAACAUGCCGUCCCACGUCCUUACUGGACCAGGCCACCACCGGCUCCAUGAGGCCUGUUAUCAAUCCCACACAGCAUAUAGAAGACUUGGGAUCAAUGGGGAAUUGGGGAAAUCCUAGAAAUCUUUCCAGCUUGUUAACGACCUUGAGCGUGCCGGCAACUCACUUGUUUCCAGCUUGGGAAAGUCCUAGAAAUCUUUCCAGACCGGUAUUUUUUUCUUCUUUUUUCUUAUUUUUCAUUUUCAUUUUUCUUUCUUUUCAACUUUUUUCUUUUUUCUAUUUUGUCAAAGAAUUUCAACUUUUCGAACAUUUUCCUAAUUUCUUACUUUCUGGAAAUCAUAAAAAAAUAGUAUUUUCUAAAAAAUUAUAAACAUUUAAUAUAUUUGUGAUUUACUUUUUAAAAGUUUAUGAUAUUUUGGAAAUUCUGAAUAUUAUUAAAAAAUCAAUGCACAUUUUCUUGAAUCAGCAAACUUUUUUGAGUCAAUGAUUUUUUCUGUAAAUUUGGGAACAAUUUACAGUAGUUCGUGAACAGAGUUUGAAUUUUGCGAAACAUGUUAGAAAAAAUCAUGUGUAUUUUUUGUAUUUUUGAACAUUUAAAAAUUUACGAACAUAUUUUGAAUAAAUGAACAUUUUUUAUGAAACCGUAAACAUUUCUUAAUACAGAUUUUUUUUAAAAUUCACGAACAUUUUUUGAAUACACUAUUUUUGUUUGACACUCAUUAACUUUUUAAAUAUGUGAACAUUAUUUUAAAUCUCAAACAUUCUAUAAUCCAUGAGCAUUUUUUGUGAACAUUUUUAAGAAAACUAAGAAUAAUGGAAUUUUAGAAUCUGUUUGUAAUCCUGAAUUAUUUUAACAAAGAAUAAAAAUUAUAAAAUAGUAAAAAGAAAAAGAAACGAAAAAACAUAGUGGGCUUCCAACCCCGCAAAUAGGCUGGCCCAAAGUGGCGCGCAUGUGGAAUCUAUUUGGUGACCAAGUGUAAUCUAUUUGGUUACCUCAAAAAAAGUGUAAUCUAUUUGGCGCCGAGGAUUCGGGUGCAAUCAAUCCCGGUCUGCUCCCUUUUUCUUUUUUCUUUUUCUCUAUUUCUUUUAAGUGUGCGCUAAUUGGUCCCUUUUGUCUCGCUAUAAGCUAGAUAUAGACGCGCCCGGUGGAGAGGCCGAAGUCCGUGUCCGAUUUUCGUCAAAUUCAAAUAUUUAGAUUCUCAAUUUGGAUUUUCUCAUCCAUUUUUUUGGAUUGGAGGGGAGAGGCAAAAGCAAAAGGCGAACUGAAACUUGAAAUCUAGCUCACUUGGCACAAUACACUGCUCAUCUCAUUUGACUGUCACAAAAGGUUGUGUGCUGAGCGUUCUCACACGAUAGGACUUCAGUUCUUGAAUUUAUUACUCUGGGUUCGCACACGCAAAUCAUGUACGUACUGACAUUUAGGUAUUAAUUACUCUGAACUGAUCCGAAGACUCAAGCCUAGCACUACUGCCAUUCCGUUUCAUUUUGUUCAUCAGGUACAGUACACUAUGUCACUAUGUACCUUCUGAAGAAUGGAGCAGGCUGUAUCACUAGUGUUCAGAAACACAACGCAGCUGAACGAUUAUUCAGUGAGGAGAAACACCCACGACUGUUCUCCUCAUUGCAUUUUGAUGAGAAUAGUUCUCCUCAUUGAAUAAGAAGUAUGUCCUCCUUGGAUAUCAGACAUUCAGACAUGUAUGCAUACACCCCGCUUGAUAGAUUAUGAUUGUCCACAGAAUCAGGCAACAGUAGUUCAGCGCAACUCUAGCAGACCCCGCAUCCGGUCGGCCCGCAAAACGCGUUUGCAGUUCGUGGAAAACGGCCUUUGCAGGCUGGCUCAGACGGCCGCCGAUGCAGACCCCCCAAACGGACCCGUAUAAAAGCAUAUUCGUGGAAUAUACUUUUUUACGGGUUAGCUUUUGCGGGGUCUGCUCGGGCACCGCCGCGUCGACCCGCAAACAGAAAAUGCUCAAUUAUCAAAUUUGACAUAGGUGCCCACAAAUAAGUUCAAAUUCAAACAACAUAACACAGCUUACGCGCAAAUAAAGCCUCAGUUUAGUAGGACAAACGCAAAAGAUGGUCUUGCAAAAGAGGGUCCGGCAUCAUCUUGGUUGAUCUUCACUCUGCGCCAUCGAGCCCAUCUUGAAGUUCAUCGCCACCACCGAAUCCACCUCCGGCGCUUGUUCCAACUCCCGCACCGAAAUCAUCGACAUUGCCACCAUAUGGAGCAGAGAAAACAUCUCCAGAACUCUAACACGCACCGGCCGACGCAACCAUUCUCCUCUUCAAGAUUUCUCUCCUUGCCAUAUUAUGCCAUGUUUUGGUGAGGUCGUCCAUGUCAUUGCGGUUCAUUGACAUGAUCUUGUUCUCUUUGGCGAGCAACUUGGACAUGGCUUUGUUUUCAGCGGCACAUGCUCUUCUCUCCUCAAUGGCCGCUUUGCGCAGCUCCUCUUCCUUGAGAAAUUGCCACUUUUCUUGCUUCUCCUUUGCCUUCUUCUCGGCCAACUCUUUCUUGAUCUCCAACGACUUCAACAUCAACUCAUUUGAUUGCACCAUGGUAUCAAUCUUUUCCCUCAAGCUCGAUGCUUCUUGCUCUCUCUUCAUCUUCGGGGCGGGAUGCGGGGUCUGGUCGGGCAAGUUUUCCCGCCCCGACCCGCAUUUUGGCGGUUAUUUUGCGGAUCGGGGCGGGAUGCAGGGUCUGCUAGAGUUGCUCUCAGGCCCUCUUUUGAUCUGCCAUCAAACAAAAGCCGCAGAACGAAACCUGCACCAGCGAUACAGGAUUUGAGAUACAUGACAUCUUAUUUUCCGUGACUUUUCUAUUUCUAUAAUUUUUCUACCCAUGAACAAAGAAAGCCCUAGGACAUCUUUAAGGCAGACCGGUAACCCUCUCGCAACCGUUCGGACCGCACUGUCCGGACUGGAGAACGCCGACCUGUAUCGGUCCGCGAAGCGGCCCGGACACGAUUUCUUCCGUAAACCGGAGACAAACGUGGGGGAGGUUUGCGGGAGUCCAGACUGAUCCCAAGCCCGCUUCUGAUCGUGCUGGCCCACCAAAAACCCUUCCCCUCUCCCGCACGCGCUCCCGCCCAGCGCCAGUUGCCCGCAUUCUUGCCGCUGUAGAGCGCGGCGCUCAACAUUGAAGACGGCUCAGGGCGAACGUGACUUCUCACUGCCUCCGCCAUUGAAGCGGUGCGCCGGCAGAGGGCGCUGCCCGCGACGCGUCUCCGGUGUCCGCACCUGUUCAAUGCUGGAGACGUGUGACAGGACAUGACGGGAUGGAUAUCUACCACGCCCGUCAAUGCCGCUGUCGGUCCUCUGCCGCCGUUAAGCAGGCUCGCCGGUUGAGAAAUCAACUCCGGCGCCGUGCAUUGACGCACCCAGAUGCCUCGACUCACCGGAAUCCGCUAUAUAAAGGCGGCCACACCCGACUAACUUCACACCAUAACACCAGCCCCUCCACAUCCUCCUCCUUUGUACUGUAUCCACUAUGACCGCCAGCGGGAAACACACUGUGGGACAGUCUGUCACCGGAGAUGAAGCUUGUGGUGGCCGCCCUUGCCAUUGCCUGGCAUAGCCACCGUUCCAGGCGGAUCGAGGUCAGCUUGCCGGCCAGCUCGCCCGAGGUCUGUGACGACGAGGACGACCCCACGACGGGCACCGCCGACUCCGCCACGGCUCCCACGCCUCAUGUGCACGCCGACUUCACCAUGGAGCAGGCACAUGCGCACCAGAACGCCGCCAGGCGGGGAGGUGCAACCUGCGCUGGUGCCUCUGUCGGCGUUCCAGCAGGCGUAGGAGGAACAACGGUACAACAUGUUCCUUCAGGAGCAGCACCGGUUGGCAGGCACCAGAUCUACGACGAGCGCGCGAGCGAGGAUGUCGUGGCGGCCAUGGCCACGGCGAACCCCAACUUCGCGGCGGAGCAGCGUGCCAUAUACGAUGACGUCCGUGCUCAAGCCGCCGCUCGUCAAGAAGCGGCCGCCACGGAGGCGCAGCUGCAGGCGAUCGCGGAGGAGAACAAUGCCAGCUGCGCCUCCUACGCGCCAUCGACGAACCAUCAGCAGGCCUGGUGGGACGAAGACAGCGCCGGCACUGUCAUUUCCCUCGUUGACCUCACAUCCACCGGCGACGGACAUGUCGUGGACUCCUUUGAGGAUGAGUAGGCAACUAGAGGCACCGUGCCUUGUUCCCAUGUGGGCCGGCCCGUCUCCCGUGUUCUACUCUUACUUGCCAGGGACCGCACCUUCACUUCAUCGGUCUUAUCGCCGGUGCUCAUGGAGGCGGUGGAUGGAGGACGACACGGGCUGGAUGCCUGCGGCCGCCGCCGCCGCCGUAGGAUAGGUUUAGGGGCGGAUUUUUUUAAUCCUAAAUGUUCGAAAUGUAAUGAAAUCCGUUAUGUUUGUAUGAAAUCCGGUCGUGUUUGCAUGAAAUUCAUCCGGUUUGUUGAAAAAAGUUUGAAAUAUAUGCGGCUAGCGUUGGAUGUCGUUUUUCCGGAUUCGUUUUCGUGGACUGAUCCCCCUAUCCGUGGACGGAUACGAGAAGAAAUUUACAGGUUGCCGUCGAAGAUGGCCUUGCUAUGGACGUUGGCAGCACUCCAAUAGUUCUAUGAGUCAGGAACAAGACUUCUUAACGACGAGGACAUACGAUUACCGUGUAUGUUUUGUUCUUCGAAGGAAAAAGACCCAAAAAACUUCGAGCCCCGUCCACACGACCACAUGCUCUGGUGCAGCUCAGCAGGUGUGCAGGAAUUUCGAGCGUAGUAGGGCUGGAGCUUGUCACGAUGUAACAUGGCAUGCUCCCAUAGUUGCACGAGCAAGUGUACACUGUUGCUCUCGUAGUUAGCUUAAUCUCGUGGACCAUACAUGUAUGUACUGCUACUGUACAAGGAUAUAUGGUCAGAUUUGGCAUUAUUAACGGCGCACAUGGCAUGCAUGCCAUCCCGCGAGAAUCGAAAUUGCUCUGCAUAUGAUUUUUGCAUGUACGAUUUGUCCGACUAAGUGAUCCCACCAUUGCCGUUGCUGCAUAGAUUUGAUUGGAGGGUGAUUGAGCAGUGUUCGUACAACGUCGUAUAAAAUUUGAUCGUACGAUUUUUGCAUGUACGAUUUGUCCGACUAAGUGAUCCCACCAUUGCCGUUGCUGCAUAGAUUUAAUCGGAGGGUGAUUGAGCAGUGUUCGUACAACGUCGUAUAAGAUUUGAUCGUACGCCUAGCACUGCUCCGCAAGAAUUGACCGGCUGCGAUCGAUCGGCGCCGCGACAUUCGAGAGGCAGGGGAAGUCUGGCGCAUGUGUGCUUGGCACUGGCUAAUCAUCCUGUCCUUGAAAAUUUUGUCCACAUUAAUAGCAUCUUUAGCAGACUCUUUAUAUCGUGGACCUGUAAAAUGAGUUUACAGUUCGCGCAUGCCUCGGAUUGGACUGAAAACAGCCGUGACAGAACAUAAACUUAAAAUGAACCUGUGCGUAUUGGCGACGAACGGCAAAUGGGUGGCGCCGCCUCCACAGACGCACCCUCGCAAAUCCGAGAUGUUUAGGCCUCAUUCGGUUCCGAGGAAACUAAAAUCUAGGAACUAGAACUAGUAUGGAAAUUUGAUAGGAUGACACUUGUCAUGCUAAGGAUUUGUCUUGUCUUGUUCCUACGCAAGAAAUGAGAUUUGAGUGGAUGUGUACUUUCCUCAAAAACACAGAAAAUGAAUAGAAUUCCUAUGUAAUUCAUGUUCGCGAUUCCUACAAAAAUGAGUUGGGACAUGUCCAAAUGCCAAGAUAGUAUCAUCAUAGAAAGGGAGGCCUCUCUUUGUAUUGGGGAUUAAGAAUCCCAAAAUCUCUUAGCAAAGUCACGGUCCCAUAAAAGAUGGAGCAGGGUUAAUUCAAUAUUAAUAGCACAAAGACAACAACAAUAAUCUUGCAUAAAAAACUUAUUCUUUUUGAGGAGUGCCCUUGUAUUAGUUCUGUCAUGUAGUGCCAACCAGAAUAAAAUCUUGUGCUUGAGUGUGUUGACACUCACCCAAAGGAUGUUAAAGAUCCGAGGACCUCUAAAUUUCCCAUGAGAUUUUUAUAUGUUUUAAUUGAAGAAUGUUUUUGAGCUCUCCAUUCCAAAUUCAAGCAUCUUUCCGAGUAGUAGAAUUGCUCGUAGGCAUACUGUUUCGAAGUUCAAGAAGCUAGCCAAAAGCUUUAGUAGAUAGAGGCCUAUGAAAAAGUUCAGUCCUAUCCUCAGAAGACAUUAACAUAGACACAAUGCUUAUAUAAUCUUUUGCAAAAGAAUGAAGCUCGGGGAAUUUGUGAACCAAAGGUUUAUCUAGCCAUUUGCCAUGCCAAAACAAAAUAGUGUCCCCUUCCCUUAAUUGGCAGACUGCAGAAGCUUUAAAACACAUAAGAGUUUUAGAAUGUCCUUCCACCAGAAGGAGCCUUUCUACUUGUCAAUAGGUGGGCUAGAACUAUAAUGUUUCUUCCAUACUUGUUUCACCUAGGGCAGAUCGUCUUUUUAAAGAACUUAUGCAAACAUUUGAUGAGAAGGACCUUGUUAUGAGUUGAGACCUCCACAAUACCAAGACCACCUUGAUUUUUUUUGCCUACAAACCUUCUCCCGGGCAAUGAGCAUAGUACGCUUAUCUUCCAUACAAAAUUUUCACCAAAGGCAGUGCCUUAAAUAUUUAUUAAUUUGAUUGACCACUUCCACAAGCAAGGCAAGAGUCACAUGAAGAAGGUGGUCAGAGACGAGAAAACAUAUUUGUUCAAGAGGAGUCUUCCAUCGUAUGAAAGCAUGGUAGGGCACCUAGACAACCUUUUCUUAGUUCUCUACAUAAUGUGAUUAAAGUCUUCAAUCUUUGGCUUGGAUCUAUGCAUAGGCAAGCCAAUAUAGGUGAAUGGAAAUGACCCAUGAUGGCAUGCUAAAAUUGUCAUCAAGGUUACCAUUCUCUCACCAGGUACAUUAGUUGGAACUAAGACAUACUUGUUGUAGUUCCUUUUUAAACUAGAGUGUGCAUCUUGAUUUGGCAUAGCUGAAACUUCUCAGAAGGAAGGACAAGAAUAGUAUCAUCACCAUACUGAAUAAUUGGAAAAUUAGGGCAAGAAUGAACUUGUAAAGGAGACUGAAUGAGAUUUGUGUCCAUGGCUUCAUUGAACAAAUUUUGAAGAAGGUCAACAGCCAAGACAGAUAGGUGGGAUGACAGAGGUUCCCCUUGCCGGACACCUCAUUUACAUUGGAAUUACUUACGAGGGAUGGCAUUAAGCAAAACAGAUGAAGUGCAAAAACUGAAGAUCAUUUGCAUCCAUAUCAUCCAUCUAUCUCCAAAACCUUUAGCUCUAAGAAUAUCCAAAAGUUAUAUGUUCAACCAAGUCAAAGGCCUUUGCAAAGUCCAAUUUUAGGACCAUUUUUUCCUGGAGUGAUGGCACUGAUGAGAUAUUCAAAAGCCCAACCAAGGAAGUCUUGAAUGGUCCUGUUUUGGAUAAAUCCAUACUAAUUAAUGUAAACGAGUUUAAGAAUUAUAGAGUGCAAUCUAUUAGUCAACAAUUUAGUAAUGAUCUUAUUGGUGUAAUGGAGCAAGGAGGUAGGCCUGAAGUCUCUAGUAGUCAAGGGGGUAUAUUUAUUAAGAAACAAUGUAAUAUAUGAAGCAUUGAUGCUUUGCAAGUUGACCCUGCCAUGAUAAAACUCCAAAAUGAGAUUGGGUCUUGACAAAUAAUGCUCUAGUAAGCUUUGAUGAAAGCACCACUAAAUCUAUCUGGUAUAGGAGCUUUGUCCACAGGCAUUUUCCCAGCGUCAUCAAUUUUAGUCUUGGAAAAGGGACCUCUGGACAGUGAAGAUCAUCACAUAUUUGAAUAAGAGAGUUCAAAUCUAGUAGAUAGGAAGUUUGCAUGGAAAUCCCAAGUUUAGCCUUAAAGGCUCUCCAAAGGAGAGCAGAUUUAGGUUGAUGAUUAUCGAAUUCAGAACCAGGCUCAUCCUUCAUAACAAAAAUGUGUGUCUAUAUUUAAUAGGGCUUUAGCCUGAAAGAACAUUGAAUAUUCAUCACCCACAAUAUUCCACCUAAUAGUGGCUCUUUAUUCAGUAAGCUCUCUAAAAUGCAAGAAGUUUGAGCUGGUUCUCCUUAACAAUCUCUCUGCCAUUACAUUCAAUAAUGGAAAAGCCUUCUGAAUUCUUCAAUGGUGUCCCAGAGAGAGAUAAGAAAAUUAGAGGUUUUUAUGGAAGCAACAAGCUUGGAAAUAUCUCUGGACCAGAUUUUUAGGCCCUUCCCGAGCCUUCUAAAUUUCACAAUGAGAAUUUUGGAACCAUCUUACUCAUUAACAUUCUUCUCCCAAAUCCUCUGGACAAUAUCUUUGAAUUCAGAAUGCCAUAGCCAGAAAUUUUCAAAUAUGAAAAGAUUGGACUUGGGAAUAUUUUUUCUAACUUGAAUUACACAUGGAGUAUGGUCGGAUAUGGAUCUAGCAAGGGGAAGAGAAAUUGUACUAAGGAAUUUUAUAAGCCAUGCUUCAGAGGUAAAGAACGAGUCCAAUCUUUCAAAAUGGGGGCUUCCUGCAAGUUGCUCCAUGUGAAGUUUCUACCUUUUGGUGGAAUUUCAACCUGGCCAAGCUCACCAUUGGCUUCAUUAAAAAUCAUCAUAUUAUUCAGGUCACCAUGGCUAGUGUUUCUAUUAUUUGGAUACCUUAUAUAAUUAAAGCCUCCUCAAAUCAAUCCAUCAAUGUCAUCAAACAUUUGUAUAUUUUUUUUAACAAAUGGAUACAAUUAUUCCUAGCCUCCACAUGGCCCAUAAAUAUUAGUUAGGAUCCAAAAGGCCCCAAGUGGGUAGAAGUGAAGUUCAUGGAUAAUGCAAACUCACUGAACAAUUCGUGACCCUUUAAUACAUCUCAAACGUAUAUAUAGUAUUUGAUUGUUAAACGCUAUUAUAUUAUCACUUUUGUAUGCUUUAUAUGCCAUUUUAUAUUAUUUUUCUGGACUAACCUAUUAAUUUAAUGUCUAGUGUCAGAUCUAAUUUUUUGCAUGCUUUUGGUUUUGCCGGAAAUCCAUACCUACAGAAGUCCAAACACGAUGAAACUUUUUGACGAUUUUUUCUAGACAAUAAGAGACCCUAGAAGCUCCGGGAAAGGACAAGAAGACCCAUGAGGGCCCCACAAGGUAGGGGGCGCACCCUAGGGGCUAGGGCAUGCCACCCUGGCUUGUGGGACCCUCAUAGCUCCUUUUGCCCUAAUUCCUAGCCUAUAAAUUCCCAAUUAUUCAAAAACACUCGAAGCGAGACCCGAAAGAAUUUUAUCACCGUCGCAAGCCUCUGUUCUGAAGCAAUCCCAUAUGGAGCCCUAUUUCGGUACUCUACCUAAGGGGGGAAUCAUUGGGGGGGGGCAUCUUCAUCAACCUUGUUGCCUUCAUGAUGAUGUGUGAGUCGUGCUCUUAGGACCUAUAGGUCCAUAGCAGUUGCUAUAUGGUUUCUCUCUCUCUUUUGAUCUUCAAUACAGUGAUCUUCUCUAAGAUCAAUCCAAUGUAAUCUUUUGCUGUGUGUUUCUCGGGAUUCAAUGAAUUGUAGGUUUAUGACCAGAUUAUUCAUUGAUCUAUUUUGAAUUUCUUGAAAUUUCUAUCUCGUGUAAUUUUAUAUCAUUUUUGGGAACUAACCUGUUGACCUAGUGCCUAGUGUGACUUGUUGUUUUGCCUAUUAUUUUGUUUUGCAAAAAAUCAAUACAAAACAAAGUCCAAACAUGAUGAAACUUUACAGUGGUUUUUUUCUGAACCAGAAGAGACCCUAGAAGUUUUGGGAGGAGGAUAGAAGAUGUACGAGAGGGCCACAAGCUCACACAGCACGCCACCAGGGGGCGCCACCUGAGCUUGUGGGACCCUCGUAACUUUGUUUGCCCUAAUUCCACUUCUAUAAAUUCCAUAAAUCCCAAAAGCACCAGAGUGAUACCCAAAACAAUUAUUCCGCCACCGCAAGCCUCUGUUCUUUCGUCAUCCCAUUUGGAGGCCUCCACCGGUACUCUACCAGAGGGGGGAUCGAUCAGGGAGGGCUUCUACAUCAACCUUGCUGCACCUUCGAUGAUGAGUGAGUAGUUUAUAACAGACCUACGGGUCCAUAGUGAUUAGCUAUAUGACUUCUUCUCUCUCUUUGAUCUUCAAUACAAUGUUUUCCUCGGAGUUCUAUCUGAUGUAAUCUUCUUUUGCGGUGUGUUUAUUGGGAUCCGAUGAAUUUUGGGUUUAUGAUUGCUACUUCUUGAGCUUGCAUUGGUGUUUCCCUUGAAGAGGGAAGGGUGAUGCAGCAAAGUAGAGAUAAGUACUUCCCUCAGUUGAGAACCAAGGUAGCAAUCCCGUAGGAGAUACAAGCAAGUCUCCAACAUAUGCACCUACACAAACAAUCAAACACUUACACCCAACGUGAUAAAGGGGUUGUCAAUCCCUUGACGGUCACUUGCAAAGGUGAGAUCUGAUAGAGAUAGACAUAAAAGAUUACUAAAAUGUAAAAUAAAAUAAAAGUAAAUAAAUUGCAGCAAGAUAUUUUUGGUAUUUUUGGUUUAUAGAUAUGAAAAUAUAAGAUGAAAAAUAGACCCGAGGGCCAUAGGUUUCACUAAAAGGCUUCUCUCUUGAAGGCAAAUAAUAUGGUGGGUGGACAAAUUACUGUCGAGCAAUUGAUAGAAAAGCGCAAAGUUAUGACAAUAUCCAAGGCAAUGAUUAUGUAUAUAGGCAUCACGUGUCAAGUAGACCGAAAUGAUUCUGCAUCUACUACUGUUGCUCCACACAUCAACCGCUAUCCAGCACGCAUCUAGAUUAUUAAGUUCAUAAGAACGGAGUAACGACUUAAGUAAGAUGACAUGAUGUAGAGGGAUAAACUCAAGCAAUAUGAUGAAAACCCCAUCUUUUUACCCUUGAUGGCAACAAUACAAAUAUGUGCCUCGCUACCCCUACUUUGUCACUGGGUGAGGACACCGCAAGAUUGAACCCAAAACUAAGCACCUCUCUCAUUGCAAGAAAAACCAAUCUAGUUGGCCAAACCAAACCGGUAAUUCAGAGAAGAUUCAAAUAAUGUUCAUAGAUAAUCUGAUCAUAAAUCCUCAAUUCUUCGGAUCUUGACAGACACACUGCAAAAGAAGAGUACAUCAGAUAGAUCUCCAAGAAAAUUGACAAGAACAUGGUAUUGAGGAUCAAAGAGAGAGAAGAAGCCAUCUAGCUACUAGCUAUGGACCCGUAGGUCUGUGGUAAACUACUCACGCUACAUCAGAAGGGCAAUAGAGUUGAUGUAGAAUCCCUCCAUGAUCGAAUCCCCCUCCGGCAGGGUGUUGGAAAAGGUCCCAAGAUGGGAUCUCACGGGUACAAAAGGUUACAACCGCAGAAAAGUAUUUUGGUGGACGCUUCUGGUCGUUUGGGCAUAUUUCUGAAUUUAUAGGCCAAAGAUUAGGGUUGGAGGACUCCCGGGGGGCCCACAAGCCAGGGGCGGCCCCUAGGGCAUGCCCUAAGGGCUUGUGGAGUCCUCGGGACUCUUCUGACUUCCUCCUCAAGUCCUACGUGUGUCUUCUGGUCCAAAAAAAAUCAUGGUAAAGUUUUAUUCCGUUUGGACUCCGUUUGAUAUUCCUUUUCUGUAAAACUCAAAAAAUGGGAAAAAACAAAAACUAGUACUGGGCUCUGGGUUAAUAAGUUAGUCCCAAAAUAAUAUAAAAUAGCAUAUUAAUGCAUAUAAAAUAUCCAAAAUAGAUAAUAUAAUAGCAUGGAAUAAUAAAAAGUUAUGGAAACGUUAGAGACGUAUCAAGCAUCCCCAAGCUUAAUUCCUGCUCGUCCUCGAGUAGGUAAAUGAUAAAAAUAGAAUUUUUGAUGUGGAAUGCUACCUAACAUAUUUAUCCUUGUAAUUUUAUUUAUUGUGGCAUGAAUAUUGAGAUCCAUAAGAUUCAAAACAAAAGUUUAAUGUUGACAUAAAACAAUAAUACUUCAAGCAUACUAAUAAAAUAAUCGUGUCUUCUCAAAAUAACAUGGCCAAAGAAAGUUAUCCCUAUAAAAUCAUAUAGUCUGGCUAUGCUCCAUCUUCAUCACACAAAGUAUUAUAUCAUGCACAACCCCGAUGACAAGCCAAGCAAUUGUUUCAUACUUUUGAUGUUCUCAAACGUUUUCAACUUUGACGCAAUACAUGAGCAUGAGCCAUGGAUAUAACACUGUAGGUGGAAUAGAAUAUGGUGGUUGUGGAGAAGACAAAAAAGAAGGAGUAGUCUCACAUCAACUGGGCAUAUAAACGAGCUAUGGAGUUGCCCAUCAAUAGAUCUUAAUGUGAGUGAGUAAGGAUUGCCAUGCAACGGAUGCACUAGAGCUAUAAGUUUAUGAAAGCUCAAAAAGAAACUAAGUGGGUGUGCAUCCAACUCGCUUGCUCACGAAGACCUAGGGCCUAUUGAGGAAGCUGAUACGUCUCCAACGUAUCUACUUUUUCUCACGUUUUCUUCUUGUUUUGGACUCUAAUUUGCAUGAUUUGAAUGAAACUAACCCCGGACUGACGCUGUUUUCAGUAGAACUGCCAUAGUGUUGUUUUUGUGCAGAAAUAAAAGUUCUCGGAAUGAAACGAAACUUUGCAAGGAAUUUUUAUGGAAUAAAAGAGAAUUACUGGAGCCAAGAUCCACCAGAGAGGGGCCCAUGGGUGGGAACAACCCACCAGGGCGCCCCCCCUCUCCUGGCGUGCUAGGUGACUUGUACCCAUCUGGUGGCCCCGCAGACAAUCCCCCCUGAUACUAUAAAAUCACAUUAUUCCAAAAAAAUCAGGGAGAAAGAAUUAUAGCGUUUAAUGUAGGGAAAAAUAGCUUUAUGCAAAAUUAAACUUAGAGCCUCCACCAGCCAAAUAUGCAUAUAGAGAUAGACAUUUUCAUUAUUAUUCUAUGGUGUGAAAUUGCAAGUACAUUCAAUUUACUGACCUACGUGGCUAUAAUGUCUCAUGUUGCUGGAAUCUUACGACGAGUAAGUGAUACGUUAGGGUUACGAUGUCUACACUCAACUUUGCCGUUGGCGUUGUUGGGAACUCCACAACUUUGUUGUUACUUCCGCUAUAAGGAUUGAGGUAUUAGCAUUUACGUUACUUUAUACAUGUGAUUUACCUCUGUUACAAAUCCUUGAGUAGUGUGUGUGUCAGCAUACCGAUCCAGGGAUGACACUUAAGCAUAGAGUCUUUGAUCCAUUCGGGUCGGGUCGCUCCACAUGUUUGAAAUGACAAUUAGAGAUUAUAGUUUCUCAUGCCAUGCAUUAGUAGCUGGGAGUGGAUAAUGAUUUAUCUUGGAUAUCAACAUAGCGUUAAAAUGAUUGUGAUGUAGUAUGAUGAUAUCGUAUCCUCGUCUGAAUGUUCGAGUGGCUUGACUUGGCACAUGUUCAUGCAUGUAGUUGAAUCAAAACCAACAUAACCUCUAUGAUAUUUAUGUUCAUGGUGUUCAUAUCCUACUCAUGCUAGUGUCAAAUAAUACUUAUGCAUAGUGCAUGGUUAUGAUCGUUGUUGCUCUCUAGCUGGACGCUUCUCAAUCUAAUUGCUAGCCUUCGCUUGUACUAAGUGGGAACUCUGCUUGUACAUAAAAAACCUUAAACCCAAAGUUAUUCCAGAUGACUCCAUCAUACCUACCUAUAUGCGGUAUUACUCUGCCGUCCUAAGUAAAUUUGCAUGUGCCACCUCUAAAAACUUCUAAAAAUUAUCCUUUUUGCGUGCCUAGAUCGUUCAUGGAACGAUAGGAGGUGGUCGAUAUCUUCCAUGAUAAGCGGGUUAUUCUCAGGUCGAGUGUUUAUUCACUCGCCAUCGCACGAGAAAAUGGGCGGUAAUAGGGAUGCCCAGUCCCAAACUGCAAACAUGAAAAAGGAGUUCAUCUCUUGAAUAAUCAAACAAAAACUCCCAAUGGAGUCAAAACCUUUACUUUUAUCGGUUGGGAACCUCCACUAGCGUGCUUAGCAUGGAAGAUGUUGAUAACUGAUGGUCGUGAAGUGAAUAAGAAGGGUGCAUGUCUCAAAAUAUCAUUUACCUCUGUUUUAAAAAUUGAGCUCUGGCACCUCUGCAAAUCACUGCUUCCCUCUGUGAAGGGACUUUCUAUUUACUUUUAUGUUGUGUCAUCACCUUCUAAAACUAGCGCCAAAAACUGAGGGAGCACAAUUGUCAUGAUAUAUGCAUUGUGUGUAGGGUGCAUCAUGACUGGAUCUUUUCUACCAUGAAUUACAAUGUUUAGUCGCUGCUUGAACUUUAGAGGUGCUCUGCAUUUAUGUUUUGCAGUCUCAGAAAGGGCUAGCGAGAUACCACUAUUGCCAUAUUAUAUCAUGGUUGUUUUGACAACGUGUUGCUGUUUGAGAUCUCUUAUUAUCGCUCGCUAGCUAAUUAUGUCAUUGACAUGAGUUAAUAUAAUCUUUAAGUGUUAUUGUCGACAUGGUUAGUUAUAAUGUUGGCUAAAAACCUGGGUGCUGUUUAAGCCUAUUUAUGCAAACAAGAGCAAAAGAGUUCGUAAAAGUUUUUCUUUCUCAGUUUCAGUUUAUCAACUAAAUUGCUUGAGGACAAGCAAAGGUUUAAGCUUGGGGGAGUUGAUACGUCUCCAACGUAUCUACCUUUUCUCAUGCUUUUCCUCUUGUUUUGGACUCUAUUUUGCAUGAUUUGAAUGAAACUAACCCCGGACGCUGUUUUUAGCAUAACUACCAUAGUGUUGUUUUUGUGCACAAAUAAAAGUUCUCGGAAUGAAACGAAACUUUGCGAGGAAUUUUUAUGGAAUAAAAGAGAAUUACUCGAGCCAAGACCCACUAGAGAGGGGCCCCUGGGUGGGCACAAACCACCAGGGCGCGCCCCCCUCUCCUGGCGCACCCAGGUGGAUUGUACCCACCAGGUGGACCCGCAGACGAUCCCCCUGAUACUAUAAAAUCACAUUAUUUCAGAAAAAAUCAGAGAGAAAGAAUUAUCUCGUUCCACAAUACGGAGCUACCGCCAAGCCCUGUUCUUCCUCGGGAGGGCAGAUCUAGAGUCUGUUUGGGGCUCCAGAGAGGGGGAUCUUCGUUGUUCGUCAUCACCAACCCAUCUCCAUCGCCAAUUCCAUGAUGCUCCCCACCAGGAGUGAGUAAUUCCUUCGUAGGCUCGCUGGUCGGUGAGGAGUUGGAUGAGAUUCAUCAUGUAAUCGAGUUAGUUUUGUUAGGGCUUGAUCCCUAGUAUCCACUAUGUUCUUAGAUUGAUGCUGCUAUGACUUUGCUAUGCUUAAUACUUGUCACUUUGGGCUUGGGUGCCAUGAACUCAGAUCUGAACCGUUUACGAAUUCAUUAUUAUAUCCAUGUUUUAGAUCCGAUCUUGCAAGUUAUAGUCACCUACUACGUGUUAUGGUCCGACAACCUCGGGGUGACAACAAUCGGGCCCACUCUCGGUGAUGACCGUAGUUUGAGGAGUUCAUGUAUUCACUAUGUGUUAAUGCUUUGUUCUGGUUCUAUAUUAAAAGGAGGCCUUAACAUCCCUUAGUUUCCAAUAUGGACCCCGCUGCCACGGGAGGGUAGGACAAAAGAUGUCAUGCAAGUUCUUUUAAUAAAGCACGUAUGACUAUUUACGGAAUACAUGCCUACAUUAUAGCGAUGAACUGGAGCUAGUGCCAUAUCACCCUAGGUUAUAACUGUCACAUGAUGAAUAUCAUCUAACAAGUCACCGAUCCUAUGCCUAUGAAUUUAUCCUAUAUUAUUUCUACGAAGCUAGUAUUGCUAUCAUCAUCAUUACACUUGCCACGAGAUUACUGCUAUCACUAUUACUGUUACCAUUGCUGUUGUCACUAUUAUCAAAACUAUCAAACUAUGCUACUGAUUACUUGCUGCAGAUAAUUAAUCUCCAGGCGUGGUUGAAUUGACAACUCAGCUGCUAAUACCUUCAAAUAUUCUUUGGCCCCCCUUGUGUCGAAUCUAUAAAUUUGGGUUGAAUACUCUACCCUUAAAAACUGUUGCGAUCACCUAUACUUGUGGGUUAUCUAGACCUUUUUCUGGCAUCGUUGCCGGGGAGCAUAGCAAUAUAUGUUGAGUCAUUUGAGAUUAUUAUCAAUUUAUCCCUAUGAAGAAUCUGAAGGAUCAAAAUACUAAGAUAUUUCCCUCAAAGACGAGGGGAGGAAAGGAACUGUCAUCCAGUUCUGCUUUAGAUUCACCUUCUGUUUUGAGUAAACUUGCAACACCACUACAUGCUAUCAAUUCUAAUAUGUCACAGUUAUUGAUGAUGCUACUUCUACUAUGAAUCAUGCUUAUGAUGAUGCUAGUACCUUGCUUGAUAAUGAUGAUGUGCCACUUGGUGAAUUUCUUGAUGAACAAAUUGCUAGAGUAAUACAACAUGAUGUUGUUGAAUCUGAUGAUGAGCUUGAAACUGAAACUCCUGAAACACCUGGUAGAACUAGCCUUCCUAGAUAUGAAUUGCCUAAGGUACCGAAAGGUUAUGUUAUGAAUGAGGAGACAACUAGAGAUAUUCUUUCUUGUAAGGAUAGAGAUGAUCUGGAGAAAUUACUAUGCAGGUGUAAAGAAAAAUCUCUGAAUGCUAGAAUGAAGUAUGAUACUAAGUUUGCUACUUCACCAAUAUUUAUUGAUGAUAAGGAUUAUGAAUUCUCUGUCGACCCAGAGUUAAUUACUUUGGUUGAAUCUGAUCCUUUCCAUGGUUAGGAAACUGAAACUGUUGCGGCACAUCUUACUAAGUUGAAUGAUAUAGCUACCCUUUUUACCCAUGAUGAGAAAACUCGCUAUUACUUUAUUGUAAAAUUAUUUCCUUUCUCAUUAAAUGGUGAUGCUAAAGCUUGGUACAAUACUCUUACUCCUGGUUGUGUGCGUAGUCCCCAGGAUAUGAUUUAUUACUUCUCUAAAAAAUAUUUUCCUGCUCAUAAGAAACAAGCUGCCUUAUAGGAAAUAUUUAACUUUGUGCAAACUAAAGAAGAGAGUCUCCCACAAGCUUGGGGGAGGCUUUGCCAAUUACUUAAUGCUUUGCCUGAUCAUCCUCUUAAGAAAAAUGAAAUACUUGCUAUCUUCUAUAAUGGACUAACCGAUCCUUCUAGGGACUUCCUAGAUAGUUGUGGUGGUUGUGUUUUCAGGGAACGAACUAUUGCUCAAGCCAAAGAAUUAUUGAAUAAUAUAUUAAAAAAUUAUAAUGAUUGGACUCUUCCUGAACCACCGGCGAAACCCACUCCAAAGAAGAGGGGUAUAUUAUAUUUCUGUCCUGAAGAUAUGCAAGAGGAAAAUAAAUCUAUGAAGGAAAAAGGUAUUAAAGCUGAGGAUGUUAAAAUAUUUACCUCCUAUUGAAGAAAUACAUGGGCUUGAUACACCGCCACUGCCUAAGGUGGUAGAGGUAAAUUAUCUAAUGAAGUUUAAUGAAAAUGACAAUCCUCACAAUAUGCAUCCUAGUCAAUGCCUUUAUGGUUUGAAAACUACAUUAGAAAACAAGAUCACUUCAAUGCAAAUUUUAUGAAACAAUUGAAAUAUAAUUCUGAUAUGAUUGCUCGCUUGAGUGACUUGUUAUUUAGAAUUUCAAAUGAUGUUAGAGGUGUUGGAAAACAUGCUUCUAUGGUACAAACCCAGUUAGAACAAGUUGCUAAAUCACAAAGAGAAUUACUUGAUGAAAUGAAUAAUAAUAUGCAUGACUUUGCUGUUAGAGUUGCAACUACAGGAGGUAAAAUAACUCAGGAACCACUUUAUCCUAAGGGACACCCAAAAAGAAUUGAACAAGAUUCACAAAUAAACAACACUACUGCACUUAGUCCUUCUAAGUAGAAAAAGAAGAAGAAAAAGAAGAAGAAAAAGAAGAAGAAAAAUGAUAGGACUUUGCAUGCUUCUAGUGAACCUGAAAUAGAGAAACCUCCUGAUAAUGAAAAUGAAACUUCUAUCUCCGAUGCUGAAACUCGGUCUGGUAAUGAACAUCCACGUAGUGAUAAUGAAAAAUAUAAUGCUGGUGUUCAUGAAGAUGCUCAACCAAAUAAUGAAAAAGAACCAGAUAAUGAUGUUGAGAUAGAACCACCUAUUGAUCUUGAUAACCCACAACCUAAGAAUAAAAGGUAUGAUAAAAGAUACUUUGUUGCUAGAAAACACGGUAAAGAAAGAGAACCGUGGGUUCAAAAACCUAUGCCUUUUCCACCCAAGUCAACUAAAAAUAAUGAUGAUGAAGAAUUUGAACGCUUUGCUGAAAUGCUGAGGCCAGUCUUUUUGCGUACUCGCUUGACUAAUAUCUUGAAAAUGCCUCCUUAUGCAAAGUAUAUGAAAGACAUCAGCACUAACAAGAGAAAAAUACCAGAAGCUGAAAUCUCCACUAUGCUUGCUAAUUAUACUUUCAAAGAUGGAGUACCCAAAAAACUUGGAGAUCUGGGUAUACCAACUAUACCCCGCUCUAUCAAAAAGAAUUAUGUGAAAACUGCUUUGUGUGAUUUAGGAGCUGGUGUUAGUGUUAUGUCUUUCUCUUUAUAUAAAAGACUUGACUUGAAUAAACUCACACCUACUGAAAUAUCUUUGCAAAUGUCUGACAAGUCAACUACCAUACCCAUCGGUAUUUGUGAGGAUGUGCCCGUUGUUGUUGCUAAUGUUACUAUGUUGACCAACUUUGUUAUACUUGAGAUGCCCGAGGAUGACAACAUGUCGAUUAUCCUUGGUAGACCCUUCUUGAACACUGCAGGGGCUGUUAUUGAUUGCAAUAAAAGCAAGAUCACUUUUCAUAUUAAUGGUAAUGAGCAUACGGUGCACUUUCUGAAGAAACAAUUCCAAGUGAAUGGUAUUAAUGUUAUUGAAAAAUCUCCGACAACCACUAUUGGAAGUUUUCAAAUACCUCUACCUACUAGCAAAAGAAAUAUGAAAUGCUUAUUGUAGGGGACAUCCAUAUCCCCAUUGAGGUAACUUAGUGAUUUACGAAAGUUCUUCGAUUUCAUGCUAACCGAAAGUGGUUGUUAAUAAGACCCGAUCAACCUUAUUAAUGGAUCAUUUUUGAGCGGUAUGAAGUUGAUGAAUUUAGUAAGCACUACCUUCUGUCCUUAAUUUUUAUUUUCUGUUUUUAUUAGUUAAAUAAAAUAAAAUUCCAUGUUUAGUCUGUUUUCUGAAUUUCCCAUGCAAUAAAAAAAUGGCCCAAAAAUAAAAGUGCUCAGAAUGCCCUUAAAAUUUUAUACGAUAUUUUUAUUUCUGAAUGUUGGUGCAAAUAAUACCAGAGAGAGGUGCACCAGGUGGGCACAACCCACCUGGGCGCGCCAACACCCCCAGACGCGCCCUGGUGGGUUGUGGUCCCCACGUGGGCCCCCUCACUUAUCUCUUUAGCCCACAUCAUCACUUACCUCCAGAAAAAAAUCUCCAUUGCUCUCUCUCCCAUGUUCUUAAGCUCAAACCCGUGGAUUUCGAUCUCUUUGCUCGAAGCUCCGUUUCCGAAACUGUUCCGGGGGAUUGUUGCUUCGUAUGUGACUCCACCGUUUGUCCAAUUAGUUUUUGUUUUAGUGGUUUAUAUUUUGAAUAAUUAGCUACUCUUGGUGCUGCUGUAGAUGGGCUUGCAUGUUGAAUUCUUAGUGUUCUAAGUAGUUUGAAUGCUUGAUAUGGCCUCUAUGUAUCCCUAUGAGUAGUUGCUAUUAGUUUUGUGAAGUUUUGUUGAGAGAAAAUUUUGUGGACUAAAAAUUCAGAUUUUUGUUCAUAGGAAAAUUGUAUGCGGACAUGAAUAUCUUUAGGAAGUUUGGCUCUAAGAAGAACUCCAAGGGUGUUAUUGGGGAGUCUUCCGAUAGUGAUCUCCACCCUUGGAGGUUGACGGAGGUACGGCCAUGCAAAUGGCCGCACAUCCCGUUCCUGGAAGAGGCUGGAAUUCUUCCAGAGUUCAUGCAAUAUAUUGCUAAUGUCGGCCUCACUGACUUUAUCGCAGAUGAGUGUGACCAGCACCAAAUCCUAACAAACAUAUUUGUUCAAAGCUUUACUUUCUUGCCUAGAAAUAAUCCUCCUGAAGUAAGCUUUGAUUUAUAUGCUGCAAACCAUCAGAUACUACUUACUGAAUUUUAUGACAUAUGCAUGAUCCCUUCUGAUGGGAGCUUGACUGGGCCUAGGCCGGCUGCGUUUGAGGAAUUCUAUCGCACUUCGACUAUGGGAGAUGAGAGAGGGGUGUCAGCCACCACGGCUAUUAGCUUACACUUUCCUGCUAUACAUUAUUUUGCUUUAUUUGUUGCUAAGUGUCUGCUUGCUAGAAAGAAAGUAGGAGCGCUCAGCGCACCAGAAAUUUGCUGUUUUACUCCGGGCACUGGAGGGUGACAACACUUAUAGCUUGGGAGCUAUUGUGGCUCGUCGCCUGCAAUAAAUCCCGGGGGGAAUACAUGGUGGGAUUUUUGCUACUCGUUUGGCGGCUCACUUCAAUGUUGGGAUACGCCCUCAUGAUUACCCUCUGACUAAGGUUUACCUAGACCAUGCAGCCAUGGAACACCAUCACUUUCUUGCACAAGACCAUCCUAACAUCACCAUUCCUUAUAACCUGGUCUUUAGCAUUAAAAAUCGUAUUACUAUUCCAGUGGCUUCACUUGCUUUGUUUGAUUCUGCUGCUAGGGGCGGAUACCGGAUUAUGCCUGCAGACAUCAUCGCCUACCGGAACGCUCAGGCAGCGGAGGCAGCACAGGAGGAGCCUCAGCAGUGAGAUGAGUGGAUGCCUGCUCCUUAGGAUCCCUACUACCAUCCAGGCUACUGAUCGACUACCAAGUUAGGCCAAAGGCCUAAGCUUGGGGGAAUACGUGUUCUCACCGACAUUACAUUCAUGUCCACUUAUAUCAUUCUAUUUGUCGGUGUUCACACUUUUUCAUUGUAUCAUCCAUGCUUAGAUUUAUUUUCUUGCUUUCUUCUUGUGUGUUUGAAAAACUUUAGAAAAACCAAAAAAUUUAGUUGUAGUAAUUUAUUUUCUAUGCAUGCUUAGCAGUAGUAUUAAAAAGAAGACCCAAAAAGAUUUCCUUGUUCUUCUUUUGCUUGUUGGGAGCUUUCCUGUGUAAAUAGUUUUUCUCGUUUUUGCUUUUCCCUUUUAUCUGCCUAUUCAAGAAAACCAAAAACUCCAAAAAUAUUUUAGUGUGUUUCUCUAAAUUUCUUUUAUUUUUAUUCAAGUUGCACCAAGGAGAAGACCACGAUGAAAAUGUUGAGUGGCUCUCAUAUGAAUAACUGUUGAACUUAAUAAAGAGCGCAUUUUACCUUGUCUUCUCUUGUUGAAUAAAAUGUUUGCAGAUUCCAGCUUAGUCCAUGACACUCUUGCAUUAUUAUUAUUUUCAUAUCAUUCGGUCGUGCAAGUGAAAGGCAAUAGUGAUGACAUUUGAUGAACUGGUCGUGGUAGAGAGAAACUGGUAUGAACUCUACUUGUUCUGUUUGUGUAAAUAUGUUUAACCUAGUAUCCAGGCUUCAACCCGUUAUGAUAAAACAUGUUGUAACAUCCCAAAAUUCUAAAUUUGGGAAUGUUAUAUCAAAUAAAUAGUUUUGAUUGUUUUUCUGAUUGUGAUGUGUGAAAUUGAGUGAAAUUUGAAACUUUUGAAAGUUAAAUGAGAGGGAAUAAAAGGACUUUCCCAAACUUUCACCUUGCAUUUAUGAUCUCCAUGAAUUCAAAUUUAUUUCAUCACAAAACCCUAGAGUGAUGAUGAUAUGACUUAUUCCAUUUAAAUAAAUGAAAAGUGUUGGGGAUAUUACUACUGAGUAUAAACUGGCCAGGAGGGGCCGGGUUAUGCCCAUAAGGAGUUAGUCAUAUUUGAAGCCCAUGAAGACAAGGAGUAUGGCGAUUUACAGAGGAGAUUUAACACGGAGGCCUAGGGCCCAAAGGCGGAUUAGGGCCCAUAGUCAUAAACCGCCAUAUGAUAUGUAACUUGUGUUGUAAGAUAGGGAAGGGUACAAACCGAGCCGGACACAUUUAUGAGCCGGCCUCGGGAUUCUAUAAACCGCCGGGCGUCAACCUGUGUAUAUAAAGGGACGACCCGGUGGCGGUUUAGGGACAAGAAAGAACAACUCGAGAGCCAGGCAUAGCAGAUUCGCUCCCUGGUCAUCGAAACCCUAGUAAUUCCAUAACAACUAGAUCGUAGGCUUUUAUCUUCACCGCAAGGGGCCGAACCAGUAUAAACCUUGCGUCCUUUGUCCGCUUUAACCCCUUUAAGCUAACCCAUCGCGAUGGCUCCACAACUAAGUCCUUUCGCUAGGACAUCUGCCGUGACAAAACCACGACAGUUGGCGCCCACCGUGGGGCUAUCACAUGAUGGUUUCGAGUUCUUAGAGGGCGGCUUCAAAGGGCUCAAGGGAUAUGUUGUGGGCCAGAUGACCAAGAGUCAUCGCGGCAAGCUCUACAUCGACAACAUAGGCUGGGGCCUGAGCCGGCUCAAUCGAGUACGGGUACCGGGUCCCCUUCGGCGGUGUUCACGUCUUCAUUGGCAAAAUUGGCGAGCCAGGCGCUGAGCCGGACUUCUGCACCGACAUCGUCGAAAUGGAUCAAUGUGCGAGACCCGCCUGGGCUCAGCCCGCUAUGAAGCUAUCACGCCCAAUAUGCGACCCUAUCCAAAAGGAACUCGAAGGUCCCACCAAGGAUAGACCCGCAUAUUGCGACGCUUUUGCAAGGUGGAUAUCAUUACAUCAACAUUACAUAAUAGAUGGGGAUACAUACAUAAGGCAUACAAUGCCACAUGAAUACAACAUCACAAUACAUCAGAGCACCAUCCGACUACGGAUGAAACACAAACAGAAACUCAAACAAUAUCCACCCUGCUAGCCCAGGCUGCCGACCUGGAACCUAUCCCCUGAUCGAAGAAGCAGAAGAAGAAACUCCAAAACAAGCAACAUCGCUCUCGCGUCAUGAUCAUUGCAUAACCUGUACCUGCAACUGUUGUUGUAGUAAUCUGUGAGCCACGAGGACUCAGCAAUCCCAUUACCAUGGGUAUCAAGACUAGCAAAGCUUAACGGGUAAGGAAGGGGUAAAGUGGUGAGGUUGCAGCAGCGGCUAAGCAAGAUAUGGUGGCUAACCAACGCAAAUAAGAGUGAGAAGAGAAGCAAAGGAACGGUCGUGAAGCUAGCAAUGAUCAAGAGGUGAUCCUGAACACCUACUUACGUCAAACAUAACAUAGAAAUCGUGUUCACUUCCCGGACUCCGCCGAGAAGAGACCAUCAUGGCUACACACGCGGUUGAUGCGUUUUAAUUCGGAUCAAGUGUCAAGUUAUCUACAACCGGACAUUAACAAAUUCCCAUCUGCCACAUAACCGCGGGCACGGCUCUCGAAAGUUUAUACCCUGCAGGGGUGUCCCAACUUAGCCCAUGACAAGCUCUCGCGAUCAAAGAAGGAAUAGACCUUCUCCCAGGAAGACCCGAUCAGUCUCAGAAUCCCGGUUUACAAGACAUUUCGACAAUGGUAAAACAAGACCAGCAAAACCGCCCGAUGCGCCGACAAUCCCGAUAGGAGCUGCACAUAUCUCGUUCUCAGGGCAACAUCGGAUGAACACUACGUACGGCAACCGACGAUACCCCAAGUUGCCUAGGGGCGGCACCGCAAGUGGCUCUGGUUUGGACCAACACUUAGACAAGCAUUGGCCCGGGGGGGCUAUAAUAAAUAUGACCCUUGGGUUAAUUACUCCCAAGGGAAAAGUAGGUGGUGGUGAGGCAAAUGGUAAAACCAAGGUUGGGCCUUGCUGGACAAGUUUUAUUCAAAGCGAACUGUCAGGGGGGUCCCAUAAAUCACCCGACCGCGUUAGGAACGCAAAAUCCGGGAACAUAACACCGGUAUGACGGAAACUAGGGCGGCAAGAGUGGAACAAAACACCAGGCAUAAGGCCGAGCCUUCCACCCUUUACCAAGUAUAUAGAUGCAUUAAUAAUAUAAGAGAUAUUGUGAUAUCCCAACAUAACCCUGUCCAUCAUGGAGAAAAUCUUCAACUUCACCUGCAACUAGCAACGCUAUAAGAAGGGCUGAGCAAAGUGGUAACAUAGCCAAUCAAUGGUUUGCUAGGAAGGGUGUCAAAGGUUAGAGGUUCAUGGCAAUAUGGGAGGCUUGAAGAGCAAAUGAUAGGUAGCGCAGCAAAGCGAUAGAACGAAGCAACUAGCAUAGCAAUGAUAGUAGUGAGAUCCAGGGUAGCGGUCAUCUUGCCUGAAAUCCCGCAAGGAAGAAGAACGAGUCCAUGAAGAAGAUGAAGCCACGAAGACGAACCACACGUAGACGAACGGAUCCUCACGAUCGCAACGAAACGGGAACUAUCGAGAAGAAACACACAACAAGGUAAACACACCACACAUGAACAAGGCACGAUGCACAACAAACAUGAUGCAUGACAAGGCUACAUGAAGCUACUCAUGGCAAGAGAUGAUGCAAACAAGAACAACACAUCAAAGCAAGUUUAAAUGAGGCCGGAAACAACAUAUAACAAUUCCGGUAAGUCCUCAUAUGUAAAUUUCGAAAUUGGUCCAGAACUGAAUAAACCUUACGUUCAAGUUAUUAAACAGAAAGUUAAGAUGCACCACGAUGAUCUACACGAGAUUCUAGUCAAGUUACAUAUAAAGUUCAUUAGAUUCGGAGCUACGACCUAGAAGAUAUGAGCAAAACAAGUUAAACAUGGCAUUGAUGCAAAAUACAUACAAACAUCAAGAAAACACACCAAAACAAGGAUGCAACAUGAUAAUAUGGAACUACAUGCAAAAACAAGCAAGUUUCAUACAGAGCACACUCAAAACGGAGCAACGCUGCAACACAUGCACACUAUACAAGUCAUAACAACAAUCUGUCCAAAACAGCAACUAGGCAUCUUGCAAGCAUCAAAAUAAAAUGCUACAGCAUCUCAACAUAAUAACAAAAGGCAUGGGCAUGAAGUACAGGUAAAGCAUAACAAAACAUGAACACUGAGCUAUCUCCAGAAACAACUAGAACAUGCUCAAAAAGACAUGGGAAGAUUGCAAAUAAUAACAGUUUCAGACUUUAGCAGAAAUAACAUCAGGUUGCAAUGUUUAGAGCAAGCAAACAACAUGUUACAGGAACAUAUCAUGGCAAACAAAGGCAUGGCAUGAAUCUACUAAUUGCAUAGAUCAAAAAUCCCUUACUGACCAUGAGCCAAAAGGGCACAGAAAAUAUGAUGGCACCCAUGUAAACAUGGCAAGUUAUAUUACAGAUUCAUACAUGGCAGGAACAACAAUAAGUAGGCAUGUUGGUGAGCUUGAACCACUCACUACAGAGCAAUACAUGGCAUGGCAAGGCAACCAACAGUAAGAAGGCAUGUUUAUGAAGUUAAGCAUGGCAAGAGCAAGGUCAUCGGAUGCAUGGAACACUAGCAAAACACAUGGGAACUAGUGAACUUAAUGUUAACAGGCUGAUAGCAACAUUAUCAAGCAACUUUGGAGCAAGAUAUGAGCAAUCUACAGCAAGCUAUAAAUGCAACCAGGGGCAUGGAUGGAUAGGGCAUAACAUGUAGAUCAAAACAUGUUUAUAGGACAUCUCUAGAUUAUGCAUAGAAUGAUUAGUAGCAACAUGUUUACAUGGCAACAAAAUAUAACAGAAUCUGUUGGGAAAACAGCAACAACAACUACACUACUUAACAAGCUCGAUUCACUCACCACAAGUCAUUGCAUGACAAUAUAAGCAUAGCAUCAUCAAGAAGACAUGUUUGUGAAACAAACCAAGUCAAGAACAAGUCCAUAGCAUGCAAGGAUCAACUAUAGCAAGCUUGGCCAAAUUGAAUAACAUGUAAACAAUCUGCCAGGAAACAUUUUGAAGCAAAAGUAGAGCACUCAAAUGACAUGCUAGACUACUCCAUAAUUGCAAACAAGGGCAUGAAUGAAUAGACAAUAACCAUAUGUUCAAAACACCCUUACUGAAGUAUCUCAAAAUAUGCAUGUAUCUCUCUGUAGCAUCAAGUUUACAUGGCAUCAAAAUAACAGCAGAACAGGGACUAAAAUCAGCAAUAUCACGAAGCCUAGUUUGCAUGCUUGUGCUAGUCACCACAUUGAUCACAAAAAUACAUGGCAUACACCCCUGGAAAUAUGGCAUGGCAUAGAUCAAAACACAUGAAGGCAUCAACCUCAUAGGAUGCACACAUCAAUCAUGGCAAAAAUGACAAAUGAGCAAGUUAUAACAGUUUCAGCAGAUUAACAUCAACAUGCACUCUUCCAACAUCAUUUCGGGCAUCAAGAUAAGCUCAAAUGAAAAUGAUGCAAUGGAAUGAAAUGAAGUACUCGUCGAGACGAACAAUUUGACAUAUUACACACAUGAAACGGAGCUACGGAUGCAGAUAUACAGCAUGAUGAACAUGGCAUGAAAUGACAGAAAUCUGGGACUUAGAAAAUUAUACCCCUCCGAGAAGUCAACGGGACGGAGCGGUUCGGGACGGAGAGAUCCGGGACAAGGCGCGGCGUUUGGUUCGUGGCUUGGUGGAUCUCGUCCAGGCCAGGUCAACGCCGGCAGCGAGCUCCUCCGGUGACGGCGCGGAUGCCGAGGAGGUCGUGGAGGAGGUGGAGGAGAAGGGAUGCGGUCGAUCUGGCGAGGGAGACGGCGACGGUUGGCGGGCGCGGGCGGUGGCCGGCGGGAUCCAGCGGGGCGGCGGAGAUCCGGCGGGCAACGGGGCGAGGUCGCCGGCCGGGAGGACGGCCGCGAACGGGCAUCUCCGGGCGGCGGCGGCUCUCCUGGGCUACGGAGGAGGCGGGCCUGGCGAUGGUGGCGCUGUGGUACGGCGGCGACGACGGGCGAUGAUCUCCGGUGAGAGGUGGCCGGAGUAGNNNNNNNNNNNNNNNNNNNNNNNNNNNNNNNNNNNNNNNNNNNNNNNNNNNNNNNNNNNNNNNNNNNNNNNNNNNNNNNNNNNNNNNNNNNNNNNNNNNNNNNNNNNNNNNNNNNNNNNNNNNNNNNNNNNNNNNNNNNNNNNNNNNNNNNNNNNNNNNNNNNNNNNNNNNNNNNNNNNNNNNNNNNNNNNNNNNNNNNNNNNNNNNNNNNNNNNNNNNNNNNNNNNNNNNNNNNNNNNNNNNNNNNNNNNNNNNNNNNNNNNNNNNNNNNNNNNNNNNNNNNNNNNNNNNNNNNNNNNNNNNNNNNNNNNNNNNNNNNNNNNNNNNNNNNNNNNNNNNNNNNNNNNNNNNNNNNNNNNNNNNNNNNNNNNNNNNNNNNNNNNNNNNNNNNNNNNNNNNNNNNNNNNNNNNNNNNNNNNGGGCCCGCGAUGGGCUUCCCCGGGCCGCGCAGCUGCGGGCGCGAGGUGGGAGGCGCGGUCGCCGACGUGGCGGCCGCGGGUUCGCUAGGAGCGACGGCGGUGAUGAGGUGGCGGGCCGCGAUUGGCCGGGGUGACGUGGCUACCGGCGGUGGACACGUCCGGCGGCGGGGUGGACAUGUCCGGCGGGCGAGAGGGAGGUUUGAUCUAGGGUUAGACCGGGAUUUCGGGGGAGUUGCCCAUAUAUAUAGGUAGAGGGAGCUAGGAGACUCCAAAUGAGGUGCGGUUUUCGGCCACGCGAUCGUGAUCGAACGACCGAGAGCAUGGAGGGGAGUUUGCUGGGUUUUGGACCACUUUGGAAGGGGUGUUGGGCUGCACACAAAAGAGGCUUUAACGGUUACCCGGUUAACCGUUGGAGUAUCAAACGACCUCCAAAUGGCAGGAAACUUGACAGGCGGUCUACCGGUGCUAUACCAAGACCGCUAGGCAAACCUCGGGCCAUUCCGAGAAUGUUUAACACCCGCAGACGAAAAGAGGCAAAAGGGGGCGCCGAGGAACAUAGGAGUGCCGGAUCGCGAAACGGACAACGGGGAAAAUGCUGGGAUGCAUGAGACGAACACGUAUGCAAAUGCGAUGCACAUGAUGACAUGAUAUGAAAUGCAGAUGAUGACAUGGCAAAGUGCAACACGCAAGCAAAUGACAUGGCAACGACGGCGAAUAACUGGCAGACAUCUGGCGCAACGAAUCCGGGGCGUUACAGAAGCGUGCCUUCGUGGGAGUCAUCCACAGAGUGGAAUCUGAGGUUAGAUCGGCAUCUGGUGGUGAAACCGUCGUUUACUCUGAUGACGAGUCAUCUACUGGAGAGACCGAGUCAUUGUACCAGCUGCAAGAUGGCCGGUUUGGGGGUUGUUCCGAUGGCGACAGUAUUCCGGACCCCUUUGAUCCGUCGAGUCGGGUUGCGAUCUUCAUGGACGGUACAUAGCCCACGCAGCAUUCCUUGACUGUACGGUGAUGGUUUCCGGAUCAAUAGCGGCAACAGCAGCUGGGGCAGGAGGCCCUGUGCGACCGCUAACUCAAGUUUUAUCUGAUUUAUUUGACGCUUUGGCAGCGCUGCUGGCGGAAGUUAACCCGGCGGAUCAGGAUGAGCAUAACGCGGAAAUCGCAAAGGUGAAGGAUCAGAUAACUCAAGCCAAGGAAGACCUGGCAGCUGAGGACACCAGGAUGGCUACAGAGAGGGCUGAGUUAGAUGCACAGGCUUACCAGCUUAUGCUAGAUCAGAGCGCAUCAAAUGAUGUCAUGAGAAGAAGGUACCGGUCUCACCUGCCCCCGGUUUAUGAGGCAAGGAAUCUCUUUAAUACGCCAGGGGCAGGAACCAGUAACCAGCCAGUGGUAAACCGGGUGGAGGCACCUGGUACGGAGGCGCCGGUUCAGCAGUGCACAAUGGACCCGCCUCGUCAGAACAAUGCCCUGAUGCAGCACGCUUCAAUGCCUUCGGGUCAUUACUCUAACCCGUUGGAUAACAUAGUCGCCGCCCCUUCAUGAUUGGUAGCUCUCCCGAUCAAAGGCGAGUCUCUAGUAGCAGUUGAAACACGGCGGGCUAGAGAGCUCCUUCAGACAGCCUUGACUCAGCAGCAAGCUUAUUAAUACAGCCNNNNNNNNNNNNNNNNNNNNNNNNNNNNNNNNNNNNNNNNNNNNNNNNNNNNNNNNNNNNNNNNNNNNNNNNNNNNNNNNNNNNNNNNNNNNNNNNNNNNNNNNNNNNNNNNNNNNNNNNNNNNNNNNNNNNNNNNNNNNNNNNNNNNNNNNNNNNNNNNNNNNNNNNNNNNNNNNNNNNNNNNNNNNNNNNNNNNNNNNNNNNNNNNNNNNNNNNNNNNNNNNNNNNNNNNNNNNNNNNNNNNNNNNNNNNNNNNNNNNNNNNNNNNNNNNNNNNNNNNNNNNNNNNNNNNNNNNNNNNNNNNNNNNNNNNNNNNNNNNNNNNNNNNNNNNNNNNNNNNNNNNNNNNNNNNNNNNNNNNNNNNNNNNNNNNNNNNNNNNNNNNNNNNNNNNNNNNNNNNNNNNUAGUGGGCAUAUGGAUGAACCGGCAGUGUCGAGCAGUGCGUAGAAUUGUAAUCGGCCUCAUGGCUAUAACCCGGCGGGUGGCGGUGUUGAUGCUCAUAACGUGGUGGACCAAGGAAGGGCACGUCAAGAGGCCGAGUUAGCAGCGCAGUACGCGGCCCGUCAGCUUACUCCAGUUCGUCCAACAACUUCGGUGGAGCCAGGAGUUACCUCCAGUUCUUUGGGGGUGCCGUGCCUCACUCCGGCUUUACGUAAUGUGCGGCUACCCAAGGAUUUCAAGGGACCACGUAAAGUUCCCAAUUACACCACCGAUUUAUCCCCUGAGGCAUGGAUUGAAAGCUAUGAGAUGGCGAUGGUGAUGCUAGAUGUGGAUGAUGCGGCAUGUGCUAAAUACUUCACCAUGAUGUUGGAGGGAACAACUCGUACUUGGUUGAAAAACUUGCCAGCUAACUCCAUUGGGCCAUGGGCCGAGUUAAGGGCCUGGUUUAUUCAGAAUUUCAAGGACACGUGCAAACAGCCCAUGUCAAUUGUGGACUUAGCUGCCUGUGUCCAAGAGGAAGGCGAAUCUACAACCCAUUGGGUGUGCCGGGUUUCGGAAAGUUUGCAUUCAUCGGACCGCAUCAAUGCUGAUACAACAGUUUUAACAUUGGAAGGCAAUUGUCAGUUCACACCUCUGAAGCUGAAGUUGGGACGGCUGAAACAUCAUUGCAAUGACAUGGGGACGCCUAUGGAAGCUCUGGUUAAGUAUGCCGACUCUGAUAGUACCAAGGACCCUGAGUCUAAUGAUGAAAAGCCAGGAAAGGGAAAGAAGAGUGGCAGCAACCAAAGGGCAGCAGCAUAACCCGGCAGGUCAUGGAAACAGCGGCAAGCGUAAAGCGGAUAACAGUUUAGAAUUUGUAGCUAACACCAACACGCAGGAUAAUGGUCAGCUCGUAAGGGUAAGCCGCCUCCGCGUGGUCGAGGAUCAAGUCCCAAUCCUGAGUGCCUAUCUUACCUGUUAAACCAGCCUUGCCCAAAGCACGGGUCGCGAGAAAAGCCAGCCACACACCUUUGGAAGGAGUGCUUCAUUAUGCGGGAGUUCAAAAAUUCAGAUUUUUUUCGAUAUGAUCAAGGACCAUCCGACGGUUCAGGACCCGGUUCUCAUGGGCUAGGUUAUGGCGGAGGCAGUUCCGGUUCAGGAUUUCAAGGUAGUCAAAGCGGACAUGGUAAUCAAGGCAGUCAGGGCAACCAAGGUGGUUAUAAUCAUCAGGGGAGUCAGCAGCAGCAGCAGUCGGGUUACCAAAGCAACCCGAAGUAGUUGAAUAGUGGGCAGUAUCAUGUCUUCACCACUAGCCUGUGCAAGCACGAUCAGAAGCUUCACAAAAGGGCAGUAAACUCUGUUGAACUGGCGGUGCCCUAUUACUUGCGUUGGUCUGAACAGCCUAUUGUGUGGAGUCGAGAGGAUCAUCCGCCCCUGGUUGAUAAUCCGGGUCAUCUAGCGUUGGUGGUGGCGCCUCAAGUCGGAGGAUAUAAGUUCACCAAGGUACUCAUGGAUGGGGGGAGUACUAUCAACAUCCUUUAUUAUGAAACCUUCCGUCGCAUGGGGUUAACAGAUAAAAAUCUUAAACUGUCAAACACUAUGUUUCAUGGUGUGGUGCCUGGUAAACCAGCCUAUCCAGUUGGUAAGAUAGCUCUGGAUGUUGCUUUUGGAGAUGAGAAUGAUUCAAGAUUAGAGACCUUAACCUUCAAAGUGGUGAAAAUCAAGAGCCCGUAUCAUGCCCUGUUUGGGCAGCCAACCUAUGCUAAGUUCAUGGCAAGGCCCUGUUACGUUUAUCUGCAGCUCAAGAUGCCGGGUCAUAAGGGGACCAUCACAGUUCAUGGGAGCCGUAAGAUCGCUUUGGAAUGUGAAGAGGGUGAUGCGGCCUAUGCUGAGUCGGUUUGUGCCACAGAGGAGUUGAAGUUUUACAAGGACAAUGUUGAUCCGCGCGGAUAUGACUUCUUUGAAAAAACCAAUUACGGAGCAUGAUCCGGCCUUAAAGUUUAAAUUGGCUAAUGAGACUAAGCUAGUUGAUUUUGUGCUUGGCGAUUCAUCCAAGCAGUUCAUCAUCAGUGCUAAUCUGGAUCCGAAAUAGGAAAGCACGCUCAUCGAGUUCAUCCGUGAGAACCGGGACAUCUUUGCAUGGAAGCCUUCUGACAUGCCAGGUGUACCGAGGGAACUCGAUGAGCACACCCUUAAUGUUGAUCCCAAGUUUAAACCGGUCAGGCAGUUUCUUCGCCGGUUCAAUGAAGAAAGGCGCAAAGCCAUUGGUGAAGAGGUCGCCCGGCUAUUGGCGGCUGGGUUCAUUGUUGAAGUUUUUCAUCCGGAGUGGUUGGCUAAUCCGGUGUGGUGCUUAAGAAGAACGACACUUGGCGUAUGUGUGUGGACUACACGGACUUAAACAAGGCUUGUCCAACUGAUCCUUUUGCUCUCCCUCAUAUUGAUCAGAUUAUUGAUGCUACGGCGGGUUGUGAGCGUUUGAGUUUUCUGGAUGCUUAUUCGGGUUAUCAUCAGAUCAAAAUGGCAGUUAAGGACCAGGAAAGACAGCUUUUAUAACUUCCUUUGGAGCCUUCUGCUAUGUGUCUAUGCCCAUUGGGCUCAAGAGUGCCCAAGUGACUUACCAGCGCUGUGUGCAAAAUUGUCUUCAUAAUCAGAUUGGGCGCAAUGUUCAUGCUUAUGUGGAUGAUAUCAUGGUGAAAUCCAGGAAGGAAGAGACAUUGAUAGAUGGCUUGAAGGAGACUUUUGAUAACCUACGAGUUUAUAAGAUGAUGCUUAAUCCGGCCAAGUGUGUCUUUGGUGUACCGGCAGGCAAGCUCUUAGGGUUUCUGGUGUCUAACAGGGGCAUUGAAGCUAAUCCAAAGAAAAUCAAGGCUAUUACUUCCUUGGCUAAACCGAAGUGUAUCAAUGAUGUUCAACACUUGGCAGGCCGGAUUGCUGCCUUGAGCCAGUUUAUCAGUCGCCUUGGGGAGAAGGCCAUCCCUUUAUAUCAGAUGUUGAAAAAGACGGAUCACUUUGUUUGGAGUGAUGCCGCUAAUGAAGCAUUCGAAGAUCUAAAGCGACAACUAGCUGAGCCGCCUGUCCUUGCUGCUCCUGUUGAUAAAGAGCCCUUGUUGUUAUAUGUGGCUGCUAAUGCCCGGGCUGUUAGUGUGGCUAUUGUGGUAGACCGCAAGGAAGCUGGAAAGGAGUAUCCGGUUCAAAGGCCGGUUUAUUAUAUCAGUGAGGUGAUUAUUGAGUCCAAGCAGAGGUACUCACAUUGGCAGAAGCUGGUGUAUGGAGUUUUCAUGGCGAGCCGGAAGCUUAAGCAAUAUUUCCAGGGUCAUCCCAUGACUAUGGUCAGUUCUGCUCCUUUGGGGGAUAUAAUCCAGAACAUGGAAGCAACUGGCCGGGUUGCCAAGUGGGCCAUUGAGCUUGGGCCUCAUGGGUUAAAAUAUAUGCCUCGGACGGCAAUCAAGUCCCAAGCGCUUGAUUUCAUCAAUGACUGGACAGAGUUACAGGCGCCAGAAGAGAAGCUGGAUCAUACUUAUUGGACUAUUCACUUUGACGGGUCCAGGCAAUUGGAAGGCUCGGGGGCUGGAGUCGUAUUAACUUCCCCACAAGGUGAUAAGUUUUGUUAUGUUCUCCGUUUAGUGUUCCCUUGCACUAAAAAUGCAGCUGAUUAUGAGGCCGUACUCCAUGGUCUUCGAAUGGCUAAGGAGAUGAAUUUAAGCCGGGUUAAGUGCUUCGGUGACUCGGACCUAGUGGCUCAACAAGUGUCUGGUACUUGGGAUUCCAAGGAUCCGCUCAUGGCAGCAUAUCGUUGAGAGGUGGAUAUUGUUGCAGGUCACUUCAAAGGCUAUCAGGUGGAUCAUGUGGACCGGCAGAAGAAUGAAGCGGCAGACGAUUUAAGCCGUUUGGGUUCUCAACGUAAACCAGUUCCACCCAACAUCUUUCUAGAUGUGCUGCAUAAUCCGUCGGUCAAACUCCCCAUAGAGCAGGAUCUGGCUAUUCCUGAUCCGGAGGCUCAAUUGGUGCCGGCGCUUCAUGUUAUCCCGGAUUGGACCGUCCCAUAUUUGGCGUACAUGAACCAGGGCGAGUUACCAGAGGAUGAAACUUUGGCCAGACAGAUAAUCCGGCGAUCCAAGUCAAUGACCAUUGUCAAUGGAGAAUCACAUCACUACAGUGUAACAGGAGCGUUUCAACGUUGUGUAUCUCCUGAAGAAGGCCGUAAGAUUCUGCGUGAGAUCCAUGAAGGGAAUUGUGAUCACCAUGUCGGUUCAAAGUCCCUGGUAGCUAAAGCUUUUCGACAUGACUUCUAUUGGCUGACGGCUCAUGCUGAUGCAAAGGACUUGGUGAAAAGGUGUGAUGGUUGUCAGUAAUGUUCACGCCGAGCUCAUGUUCCGGCUCAAGAACUGAGGAUGAUUCCAAUCACUUGUCAGUUCGCAACUUGGGGGCUGGAUAUGGUUGGGCCCUUUAAGAGAUCCAAGGAUAAGAAGACCCACCUGUUGGUGGCAGUUGAUAAAUUCACUAAGUGGGUGGAAGUAGAGCCAGUUUGUAAGUGUGAUGCGACCACGACAGUUCAAUUCAUCAAGAAGGUGAUUUUCCGGUUUGGUUUUCCACACAGCAUCAUAACUGAUAAUGGUACUAAUCUGUCCAAGGGUGCUAUGAAAGAAUUUUGUCAACGUGAGGACAUCCGGCUUGACGUAUCAUCAGUGGCUCACCCCCAGUCUAAUGGUCAAGCAGAGAGAGCCAAUCAAGAGAUUUUGAGAGGCAUCAAGCCCCGGCUUAUGGUUCCCCUGCAGAGGACGCCGGGGUUGUUGGGUGGAAGAGUUACCUUCUGUGUUAUGGAGCAUCAAUACCACGCCCAACAGAUCUACGGGUUACACGCCUUUUUUCAUGGUUUACGGAGCAGAGGCAGUUCUCCCAAGUGACAUCCGUCAUGACUCGCCUCGUGUGGCGGCUUAUGUUGAAGCUGACAAUGAGAAGGCACGACAGGAAGCACUUGACCUGUUAGAUGAGGAGCGUGACAUUGCAGUAGCCCAUUCGGUGAUUUAUCAGCAAGAUCUGCAUCGUUAUCACGACCGACGGGUUAGAACCAGAACUUUUCAAGAGGGUGAUCUGGUGCUCCGACUCAUCCAGGAUCAGACUGAUAUGCACAAGUUAUCCCUGCCUUGGGAAGGACCCUUUGUGGUCAGCAAGAAUCUACAUAACGGGUCAUACUACCUUAUCGAUGUUCGAGAGCACAAAGACUCACGUAAAUCGGAGGAGGAGACCCACCGGCCGUGGAAUAUAGCUCAUCUUCGGCCUUACUAUACUUGAGCCACAUGCUCUUCUUAUGUACAUAGUUAUGACCAUGUAUACAUUAUGAUCAAUAUAAUAAACCGGAGCCUCAGCUAAAGCGGGGUCUCUGUUGUUUUUUACAUCAUGUGUGGUUACAUGGGGGCUUCUGUCUAUAAAGCGGAGCUCUAUUUUACCAACUGAUCCAGCUUAUAGAGCUAUAUAUAUAAAGAAAAAUCACUUGGGGGCUUGGUCGUAUUCGAACCAUAGCUACACCUCUUGAUCGGCGUAAGGCCACCAGGAAAAUCACUUGGGGGCUUGGUCAUGUUCGAACCAAAGCUAUACCUCUUGAUCGGCAUAAGGCCACCAGGGAAAUAAAUUAGGGGCCAAAGAGAGUGUUGCAAAAGCACAACUCAAACAUAGGUACCCAUUGAGCACAACUCAAAAUAUUGCUUGGGGGCUCUUUGCUUCUCAAAGAACAAAGAAUCUACACUUGUAAUAGGCUAUCAAGCCAGGCUUGGAAGCUAGGUGUAUUCACCUAAAACCCCGGGUUAUCCUGCCUUUUUUAAGUAAGCCACUCCGCCGAGGUAAACCUGGUAUGACCCGCCGAAUGUUUGACAAGUCAAUCUCAUAGACCCUGAACUUGUCAAAGUUAAAACGAUGAUUGGUUAAUGAUUGAGUUCCAUCUUCAAAGGCUUUGUAAAAUGGUUUAACUCAGUGGCCUGGCAGCCCAUGAAAAGCCUCGAUUUUGGGCCUGGCAGCCCAUGAAAAGCCUCGCGUGUUUCUUUUUAUGCUGUUAUUUGCCAAGUUUCUUCUUUGUUGAGAAUUAUAACAUUUUAUGGUAAACCGGCGUUCAUUGACCCGGCUUGUCUUUCAACUACAAGUUGUUAGUACAUGAUCAAUUAUAAUCCGGUGUUUAUUGACCCGGUCUGGUUUCGACUACAAGUCGCCAGUAUUAUAUAUGGAUAAAACCGGUGUUUAUUACAACCCAGUACGGUUUUAUGAUAAACCGGCAAAUAUGGAAGGAGUUAUCAUUACUCAAGAUUGGGGUAUUACCCUUAUUACACAAGUUGGUAAACCAACAAUGUGAUCCAACGUCCCAGGUACGGUUUUAUCAUAAACCACCAGGUAUCAUCUAUUUUAUAGUUGAUUAUUUUCAAAUACAGCCUUGGUUAUAAACACUGGCUAUACAUUUGGGCAUCAUGACCCGUCCAGCGGUAAACCGCCAGGACAUUUUCAACUUCUUGUAUGCAGGAACAGCUUGAAUAAACUGCUACGGAUCAUGAGCAGAUAUAAUGUAUCCUAAACAUGGUGGAUUAACAGUGUCAGGCAAAACAAGUAUGCAUGAUGGCAUAACAGACCAAGUGUUUGCACUAGCCUAUUACAAGGAGCUUUAAUGCCCAAAAGAAUAAUUGUUUUCAGCAAGGAUGACAAUGUAGAGAAGAUAAACCGGCCUCCGGAUCAUGAUUCUUCCUCAGGAUGACUUGAAGGUUGUGGAUCAUCCCGCGUCGAUUCAACCUCCGCCUCUCUACCCAGUGGCUGGAAGUCAACGGUUGCGCAAUUGAUCCCAGUUAGGGCUUGGAAUACAGCUUCAUCGCUUAUAAGUGUGGACGGUUCAACGUUAGGGGCAUAAGUAUGCUUACGGAUUGGCGGGAUAAGAUUUUGAGCAUCAGGAGUUGGUGCAGUAACCCGUUUUUUGUUGACGUCAUAAUUCGCCUGAUAAUGUGAAAGGUCAAGUUCUUCAGCCAAUUGGCAAUCCAGUGGACGUACUUCCCUGGUUAUGGCUCGGAGGUCGUCAUUGGCAAAAUCUGAUCCAUCUUCCCUUAAGCUCGGAUAGCCUUUACUCACAUCCACCAGAUCAAGAUCAGGUACCCAUGCUUUAGCCCGGGUUAGCGCGGUCAGAGCACCUGCCCUUGCAGCCGAUCUUUUUAACUCUUCAACCCGGGCAGGCAGCAUUGACAACCUUUCUAAGGUUUCCUUGAUUAAGGUUGGGGGCGGCUUGUUAUGAGAAGCAGUUCGGAUGAUCCGUUGCGCACCGGUAUAUAACUGCUCUAUCAGAGUAUAGGCAGCCUUCAAUUUCUUCUGCGUGCAUGUCAGAACCAAGAUGGGUAAUGCAAGUUCCUGCAACAUUACGAUCAUUAGUAAACCGGCAUAUGAUGGGAUGAUAUAUGCUGAAAACUUAAAGCGAGGAUAUUUACCAAACACAGCAGUGGUCAUAGCAUUUAUAUGCCGCUUCAAACCAAUCAGCUCGUCUACCACCGGUUUAAGGCCUCUUCUGCAUCCUCAGCUCUCUUUUGCAAAGAGGUUUUCUCUAUGUCCCAAUCCGCCCGCUCCUUCUUGAAAUUUUCCUUCAGCUUCUCCAUGGCUGCUUAGGCACUGGUCAGCUCUUCUUUAGCCUUGGAAGUUUCUGCUUGCUGAGACUUGAUGUUUUCUUGAAGAUCAGCGGUUUGGGCUUCCUUUUUGCUCAGCUCAGCCUAUAAUAGACAAAUUUAUUAUGAGCUGGCAGUAUAUAUUCAAAGUACCAAGCACAUAACAAGUUAUCCACUUGAUACUUGGGGGCUAAUGCCUAUUUGCUUGUUAGCAGAAAUUUUUAUAAGUCCCAAGCACAAUACAAGUAUUAUUCUUGACACUUGGGGGCUAAUGUAUAUUUGCUCAAUGUAACUUUAUGGGUAAAAGUCCCGGUUCAGCUUCAAAAGAUGAACCGACCCUUGGGGGCUACACAGGCGAAAGUUACAACAUUACAAUUCUAAAGUACCAUUUCAUCUUAAAAGGAUAAACCGGCCCUUGGAGGCUAAGCAUGCAAAGUUGAAGUAUUCUAAAGUCCCGGUUUAGAUGGAUAUCAUAAACCGGCCCUUGGGGGCUACUGCGGUUGAUAUUUGGACACAAGAGAAAGAUAGUUAUGCAAAGUUAAGCAGCAGUUACCUCAUAUCAUUCUUUCAUCAGGUUCACUAAGCCGGCUUCAUAAUCACAGCUUGUGUAUAGAUGGUUCAAGAAGCCAGAAUGAAUGUCUUGGGCGUUGAGGUGGGCAUCGCUUGACAAGUCUGCAUUCCACUUGCUUUUGCCCAUAGCAGAAAGUUCAUCAUUGGCGCUAUGCUUUGAUAAAGCAAUAUGAUUACCAGGAGUGGUGCGGCCAAAGCCAGUAAUCAUAAUGUCACCCUCUUUGUCAUCAGCGGCCUUCGUGGGAGUUGACGGUUUAUCAGCAGCCUUAGCUGGACUUGGCGAUUUAACAGCAGUUUGGCCUGAGCUUGUCGGUUUAUCAGCAUGACCCAUUGUAUCAACCUCCACUUGUUCAACAACAGAGUCAUAGUCUUGUGGUGGCGGAUCAUCAAGUAUGGCAUCAGCGUUUGUUCCUUCCGGCUCUGGAGUUUUUUUCGGUUCAAUAACCACAUUAUCAUCAGCCGGUUUAUUCAACCGGGCUUUCUUGCUGGGUCUAGGCUUAGCACUAAGAAGAGCAAAUAAGAUCAGUAAAGUGCAAAUAUAACACAUCAAGGAUAGAAUGAAAGCAUAACUCACCCAAGGACCGUUUUGAGGGUUGGAAGUUGUGUGGCCAUUGACUCGACAGAGGAUGAAUUAGGUGUUCCCUGAUAAUUUGAAUCAGACGGAUUAAGACGUUGUCAGAAACAACCCGCAUUGGGGUAAGAAGUAUUAGGAGUAUAAGAGACCUCUGAUCGACGUUUUCGGACUGGAGUGUUUGGUAAACUGGUUGAGGUGACUACCUGGCCGCUGUGUUGGGUUGUGCGGCGAGCUUCGUGUUGCUGCUUCUUCAAAAGAAAGUUUGGGUCCAAGUGAGCUAGGGGAUGAGAAAAUCUUAAUUUCCGGUUUGCUUGACGAAUUUUCUGUGAUGGCAGAGGAUCUGAACCGGAGGAAAGAAUAAUUACCUCUACAUCCUCAGCAUGGCUGGCGUCAGCGUCAUCCUGAUAAUAGUCAUUGUCAAUGAGGUGUAUAAAAAGGGAGCCAAGAGAGUCAAGUUCUACCUCUGAUUCCGGGUUUUGCCGGAUCAUCAUCAACAAUGGGUUCAGAGGAUUCAGUGGUUCUCUUCUUGGCAGGUUUUUUGAUAACCCUGGCCUUUGGGCGAGGUGUCUUUGCCGGUUUAUCCUAUGGUUUUCUCUUCCAGAAUGGAUCAUCACCCUGUCAAAGAUGGACAAAAACUUGAGGGAAUAUUUUAAAAGGAUGAGGAUAAGACAAAAGUUAUAUGACUCUUACAGUCGGCGGAUUGUUGGAAGCAUAGAAAGGACUUAGCCCUGUCUUACUGCAGACAGCCUCCGGUUCGUUCAAAAUUUUCUUGAUAGCCUCACUAACUUCAGGUUCUAUUAGCUGAAUGUCGAUAUGCCGUUGAGGGUCUCUUAAGUCCCCUGUAUACUCACACAUUAAACCGGGGUGCCGGCUUAAAGUAAGAAUGCUCUAGGAUAUCCAACAGUGGACAAAGUCAACGCCUAUUAAACCGUUCGCCAUAAAGGCUCUGAGCUUUGAGAGUUGUGGUGCGUAGUUGGACCGUUCCUUUGUAGUCAGCCUCUGAGGAAAUGGAUGUGUGUUGCUAAGCCGGUGAGAACGGUAACCCAGCAGAGGAUUCUCAUCAGUUGGAGAUGUAUCUCGGCAAUAAAACCAAGUCUGAUUCCAGUCCUUGGGGUGACUGUGAAGCUUGGCAUGGGGAAAGUUGACAUCUUUCCUCUUAUGAAUAGCCAUUCCACCAAGCUUAGUAUUGGGUCCGUCUAUAAACUCUGUAUGACGGUUCAAAUAGAAGAAAUCCCUGAACAGUUCAACUGUGGGCUCCUCUUGAAGAUAAGCCUCACAAAAUACUUGGAAAUUGCAAACAUUGGACACAUAGUUUGGUCCAAUGUCCUGGGGGUGGAGUUGGAAGCUAGCAAGUACAUCCCGGAAUUUUUUUGAUCUGGGAGGGCUAAACCCUCGACCCAGGUGGUCAACGAACAUGAUUACUUCUCCAUCCUUGGGCUCAGGAGGAUUUUCUGGACCAGGGGCCCUCCAGUAGAUGACUUCUUUCUUUGCUAAAGCGCCGGUUGCGACACAUCUAUCUAGUUGCUCUUUAGUAAUCCGGGAAGGAACCCAGUUUCAUUCAUAAACUUGUUUGGCCAUUUCAAUGGAAAGCUGAAACAUGGAUAAUGCCGGUUUAAGGUUCAAUACUUACAAGUUGCAAGGUCAAAGGAAAAAGACGUGAAGGCAUAUACACAGGUUAAACAGGAGUUUCCCCUUGGAAGGGUUACAAAAAUAAAUGAACCAGCGAUUUAAAAGGGGACCAAUGGUACCUACCGGGUUAUCAUUUUCAAAAGUUAAACCGCCUACUUUGAUAUGAAAGGUACAGAUCUAAGAUAUUUAAGUGAGGGAAAAACAAGUUUCACAGAUUGGUAUGAUAAUUUUAGAUCUGUGGUGUAUCAGUAAAUCAAAGCAUAUUCAGACCUAACAUGCAGGUGCUUAAGUAGUUCAUCAGAUCCAGAUGAGAUUAUCCUAUACGAAGAAGAUGUUCUAAGGAUGAAAAAGGGGAUUACAACUACGACUGCACAAGAAAAUGUUGGAUCUAAGAUUGCCGCUUGCACUACUGAGGUGAACAGAGAAGAACAGCUCCGAGCUUUGAUGAACACCGAAAUCCUAAUGGCGGAUCUAGAACAAGGGAAAGGGAGACUUACUGUUGCCGACAGAACAGCAAAGGCGCGCCGCGUUUCUCUGGUAUGUUCAGGUUGAUGCAGCGGCCGAAGAUGAGGUCGAGGGCGGAGCUUGACAACGGCGGCCGUGCUUGAGGGUCAGGUCGGUGCAAGGAGGAAGAAGAAGAGAGGAGAUACGGGGGGGAUGAAAAGGAGCCCUCGGUCUUAUUUAUAAGGCGAAGGGAUAAGUGACAGGCACAAAAAUCGAGGAGCCCAAAGUUGGAUAUGUGACAAACCUGUCGCCUCAAUUGUUGGAGGCUCAUUAAUGAAGGGGAGAUAUAUACAAUUUUUAUAACAGGUGAUGUCAUGGCGGUUUAUUACAAUCUUGGAAGAUGACGUGAUGGCGGUUACAAGGUUUAUGCGAAGGCGAUAAAGGAGGAAUUUUCCUAAGUGUUAAAAAUUGACAUGAACAGGUUCAAAUCAAUCAGGGGCCUAAUGUUGGGGAUAUUACUACUGAGUAUAAAGGAGGGGCCGGGUUAUGCCCGUAAGGAGUUAGUCAUAUUUGAAGCCCAUGAAGACAAGGAGUAUGGAGCUUUACGGAGGAGAUUUAACAUGGAGGCCCACGGCCCAAAGGCGGAUUAGGGACCAUAGUCAUAAACCGCCAUAUGAUAUGUAACUUGUGUUGUAAGAUAGGGAAGGGUAGAAACCGAGCCGUACAUGUUUAUGAGCCGGCCUCGGGAUUCUGUAAACCGAUGGGCGUCAACCUGUGUAUAUAAAGGGACGACCCGGCGGCGGUUUAGGGACAAGAAACAACAACUCGAGAGCCAAGCAUAGCGGAUUCGCUCCCUGGUCAUCGAAACCCUAGCAAUUCCAUAACAACUAGAUCGUGGGGCCGAACCAGUAUAAACCCUGUGUCCUUUGUCCACUUGAACCCCUUUAAGCUAACCCGUUGUGAUGGCUCCACGACUAAGUCCUUUUGCUAGGACAUCUGCCGUGACAAAACCACGACAAAAAGGGUUUUGAAAAGAUUUGAAUUCCAUUUGGAAAUAUUUCAAAUUCAGAAACUUUAUGCGACUCAAUGAGUUUCAUGAGAGAAGAUAAAAUGACUUCUUCAAAUGCUAAGAAAGAGAGUUGGAAGUUUCAAAGAAUCAAAUUUAAAGUCCCUUUGAAAUUAUUUUCAAUUUGGAGUUAUUUGGUUUUUAUUCAAAUUAUUUUUCUCCAAAAAUAAAAUAUAUGGAAAAUAGGGUAAAGUGAUUCCCUACAUUAGAAAAUUGGAUAAAAAUGGUUUUGAAAUCAUUUUGGUAUUUUAAAAUAUUUUUAUUUGGUUUUUAAACAAACUAGUAGCACUGUUUGCUUUAUUUAAUUUUUCGUGGAAUUUAAUUGCCGCUAUAAAGAUGUUCAUGUUUUAGAAAAUCUUUUUCUAAAAAUUUUGAUAUAUAAUAUGCCUAUAUAUCAUUUUUAUUAUUUUGUUAUUUAUUUUAUUUUUGUUGUCUUAGUAAAAAAACCUUUACGCCGAACUGGGCCGGCCCAGCUAGCCAGCCAGGCUGCGGCCCAGCCCAGCGCUCCGUGCCCGUACCCGAGCUACAGCAGGAGUCCGCCGCCUGCACGCCGGCCGCCGCCGUGCCGCCUCCGUACGCCUCCUCGCCUGACCCCUCGCCCAAGCCUCGCCUCCCCUUCCCCUUUAUAAGCUGCCGUCCCCGACCCCUCUCUCUCCUCUAAACCCGCCGCCAGCGCUGCAACCACCGCCGCCGCUGUCGAAGCCGCAGCAGCCACCGCCCGCCUCGCUCCCGGCCGCCGCCGACCCCACCGCUGGAACCGCCCCACCGCGCCGCCCCUCCCCAUCUACUCCACCGCCGCCGCCGAGCCCCGACGUCCCCGCCCCGUUCAUCACCGAGCCGCCGCCACCGUCGACGACUACCGUCGUCGCGGUAACGCCCCACCUUCCCUCGACCAUUGGAUCUUGAUCCAACGGUAGCUUUCGUUUUUCUUUAUUUCAUGGACGUUCGUCCGGUUAGGUCUCGGUAGCGAACGGUUCGUUCGUUAGUCUCCCGUAGCGGACGUUUGUCCAAUAGAUUUUUCUUUUUCUGUUUUAUUUUUGGUCAGGGACCCAUCUGUGAAUAUUUUCUUCGCAGAUUAGCCCCUAAUCUUUAAACUUUCGUAACUUUUUGCUCGUUUAUCCAAAUCCAACGAAACCAACGCCCAAUUCUUCGUUAUGAUCCACUCUAUCCAGUUAACCAACUCAAACAUAUUUUUGAAAAUUUAAAAUUUGAAUUUAUUCAGAUCUGAUGUGAUUGCCUUAGGCUGGUAUAAAGAGUCUCAAUGAUCUCUAUAUCAAAAGUAAUCCUUUUUGCCAGUUAAGGGAAUAUUUCUGCGGGUCACCUUCCUUAAGAUGUCUCGUUAUGGUAUCAUGGCAACUCAACUCCUCGCUACGUGGACAACCGUUCACCACCUUCUUAAGUGUGGAAUUGUGUCUACGUAGUGAACCUUCGUCAUCUGUUACACUCCAUCCCUCUGGAUGUAUGUUCAUGUCUCAACUCGAGAAAUGUUCAAUGUCUCAUUCCGCGAGUUGAUCGUUGGUUGUUCGAUCUUCGAGAAGAUCGAUCCUUCUAGAGUUUUCCCUUUCCUCUCGUUGUCCUGAUAGUUGGAGUUCUCAGAUCAUGACGUCGAGACAAAGAUCAUGAUCGAAUCAAUGUUCUUAUGAAGUGCAACUUGGAUCGUGAAGACCGUGUUAGCUUGUGCCCCCUCUGUCUUCUUACCUCACGUCUUGAAUCUCGGGACGAGAUUCUUGUUUAGUAGGGGUGAGUUGUCACAGCCCUAGAAUACCUGAGUGAAAUAGUUGCAACUACACUCAUGCAUCAUGUUUAAAUUUCAUGAAACUUGAAAUGGGGAUUGUCGAAACCCCAGCAGCAAAUGGAAUUCAACCAGGUUCAAACUUAAAUCUUUUCAAUGAUCCCAAACUGCCUUUAGAAAUGUUCAUCAUUUUUGAAUUGGUCCAGCACCUCUGACAAAAAUGAUGCACAUAUCUUUAGGUCAUUCUGGAUUUUUGAAUUAAUUCAUAUUGUAUUUGCAAUUGGGCAUUUAAAAACUAUAAAAUAUUUUAAAUGCUCAAAUAAUCAUAAACUUAAAUGUUUGCUGUUGGAUAUUUUCCAAACAGUGGGCUUGAGCAAGUUUCAUGAUUUUUGGGAUAGCAUUAGUAUUUUUAAUAAAGCCCUAAAGAUUACAGAGAAAUAGAAAAACAAAAACAAUUAAAAGAGAGAGAGAGUGAACUACCUGGGCCAACUUACCUGGCCUUCCAGCCCACCUGGUGGCCCACCUGCCGGCCCAACCCAGCCACCGCUCCAGUGAGCUGUUUGGCUUGGCCAGGCAGGCAAGCAGCUGCUCAAUGGUGAGCACAGCAUGCAUGCCACGCAGCUGCCCGCCGCCUCGCCGCUCCCCUCGUCGAGCUGUCGACGUGGGACGAACCCUCUCUCUCUCUCCCCGACCUCACAGACACUCGCCCUCCCCUCUGGCUCCUCUCCCUCGCCCUCCCCGACGUCGCCCGAGAUGUCACCGUCGCCGCCGCUCGCCGCAGCCACGUCUAGCGCCGUCCCCGCACCCUCUCACCGUGUCCGGAUGGUUCAUCGUCGUCGACUACGUCGACUAGCCAAGCCGCUCGACGCCGGAGCCCCUGCAUCAUCCCCACCGCCGUCGUCUUCAACCUCGGGCCGCCCCAGAUCGCUGUCGCUGUUCCGACCGCACCAAGCCUUCCCCGAGCACGCUGACCAUCCCUGCGGCUUCUCUGUGAGCUGCUGAACCUCCCCGUGCUUUCUGUUUUGCCCCUAGAAUACCAUAGAUGCCGCGUCUCUUGUGCCCGAACACGCCGCCGCCUGACCACGUCGCUGGCGCUGCUCCGGUGACCAUUUGGUCACGGGCUUGUGCCCGUCGCACUCCUCGCGCCGCAUAGAGGUUGUAGGUGCUAGCGCCACACCGCCUUGGCCACUGCAGCCACGCACACGAGCUGGCCCGAGCUUCGGCCUCCGCCAAACUCGUCGCCGACGAUGCUCCGGCCACUUCGCGGCCAAGCCAUCACCACGGCUGGAUGCGGGCGAGCACCAGCUGCCCGUAGCUGCUCUCCGUGUAGAAAAUGGAGCCCUGUGGGCAAAUCCCGCAGCACGCCGCCGUGUCUGGCCUCGCCGGCGGCUAAAUGCCGGCAGGCUUUGACCCGCUGACCGGCGGGUUUGACCAUUGACGUUGACUGCAUGGGCCCAAGUUGACCCCCCUGAGUCAAUGACAAGUGGGCCCCCUGCUAACUAACCAGAUUAGUUUAACUAAAAUUAGUUAGUUUAAUUAAUUGCUGACACGCGGGACCCACUGGUCAGUUUGACCUGGACGUCCCCGUUGACCUCUAACGUCACCCUGAUGCAGUGCUGACGCAAUAAAGCCUUUUCUGGAUUUUAAAUAAAUCUAAACGAUUUAUUUAUUUCAGAAAAUAGCUAAAACUUCUAAAAAUCAUAGUAAUUCAACCGUGACCCCAAAUCAAACAAAUUAUAUAUGAAAAAUUAUCAGAAAAAUUCAAGGAAUCCAUCUGUAGCAUUUUCAUGCAUGUUUGAACAAUGUUUGUCCUCUGUUUUGGACAAAACAAAUAAAGGGCAUUUAAAUAAUCAUAUAUGGAGUUGGAAUUUGAAUCAUGUAUUCAAACCAACUUCAUUUAAAUCAUAGCUAGGUGCAUUAGCUCAAAUCACAACAUAUUGCCAUGUCAUGAUCAUGCAUCAUAUUGUGGCAUUGCAUUGAUUGUGUUCUUUCUCAGUUGCCGGUGUUUGUCCCCUCUCGAUAGACGUGGUUCCGACGACGAGUUCGAUGACACCGAUGAAGAACUAUAUUAUCUUCAGAAGUGCCAGGCAAGCAAAACCCCCUUGUUUAUUCCGAUACAAACCCACUCUCUCGCUCCUGCUCUCUUUUACUCCAUUAGGACAACAUCGAUUCAACUGUUACUUGCUGCGGUAGUUGAACCCCUUUAUCCUCUGCAUGACCUGUCAUUGCCAUAGUAAAUAGAUGAAACCCACUAGCAUGAGUAGGAGUUGUUUGAGCCCUGAUGUGUCUACUCAUUCAUGCUUGUUUGUCAUGCCUGCUAUUGCUUAGAGUUGAGUCAGGUCUGAUUCAUCGGGGAUGAAUCAGAGGUGUGUGAACAUGUCCUAUUGUGUGCGAGCUAAGUGUGUGAACACGAUUUGGUAAAGGUAGCGGUGAGAGGCCAUGUAGGAGUACAUGGUGGGUUGUCUCAUUGAAGCCGUCCUUAGGAACUGAGUUUUGUGUUUGUGAUCCAUGAUUCAGCUACUACCAUGCAUUGGGCCCUAAAAUAUGACCCCGCUCGACUUCUUAAUCACCCUCGUCCUCUGUCCAGGAGUUGCAAGUAGUUUCUGGUGUUUGUAGUAUGCUGGAGGCCGUGCGCAGCGCUGACCGGAGGGGUGGGCUGUGAUGCGGUAGGCACGUGGCACGGUGUACCGAGCGCCCGUUUGGUGUCUCGGGAACCCUGCACACAUCGUUUGGGGCUGUGAGCGAAACUCCGGCCGGAUCUCCUCGCGGAUGGAACCCGAAUAGGCGAUAAACCUGGACUAGAGACUUGAGUGUUUAGGUAGGUCAUGGUCUACACCCACGUCGGCUUUCGCUUGAAGUCUGCCGAGCACAUGUCGUGUGCAGACGCUAAGUGGUGGAAACAUGUAUGAAGAAGUACACCCCUGCAGGGUUAACAUCAUCUAUUCGAAUAGCCGUGUCCGCGGUAAAGGACUUCUGGGUUGCCUAUAACAGUUCAUAGACAAGUGAAAGUGGAUACUCUAAAAUAUGCAAGAUAAGUGUGAGUGCUAUGGAUGGCGUUCUCGUAGGGAGACGGAAGCGGAUCCAUAGUGGUGUAUUGAUAUGGUGAAUAUGUGGACUCGUGUGCGCCACCUCAAAAGAGUUACUUGCAGUAGUAGUUCAGGAUAGCCACCGAGUCAAAGCUGGCUUGCUGCAGUUAAACCCCACCAUCCCCUUUGUUGAUAAUGAUGCAUAUGUAGUUAGUUCUGAUGUAAGUCUUGCUGGGUACAUUUGUACUCAUGUUUGCCUAUUUUAUGUUUUUGUAGAGAGACUUCGGUCUCGUUAGUAGUUCUGCGUGGACUUCGACAUUUAGCUUGAUACCUCAGCUACGAUCUUGUGCCCUAGGCAGGAUCUGGUAGAUAAUCGGGCUUUCAAGCCUUUUUCAUUUGUAGUUGUCUGUACUCAGACAUGUUAAGCUUCCGCAUGUGCUUUGAUUUGUAUGCUCUGAAUGUUGGGUCAUGAGACCUAUGUUUGUAAUAUCUCGCUCCUCGGAGCCUAUUGAAUAAAUACUUGAGUCGUAGAGUCAUGUUGUGAUGCCAUGUUAUAUUUGCACAUAUCAAGCAUAUUGUGUGUAUGUUAUUGAAAUGCUUGGUAUGUGUGGGAUCUGACUAUCUAGUUGUUUAUCCUUAGUAGCCUCUCUUACCGGGAAAUGUCUCCUAGUGCUUCCAUUGAGCCAUGGUAGCUUGCUACUGCUCCGGAACACUUAGGCUGGCCGGCAUGUGUCCUUCUUCGUUCAUGUGUCCGUCCCUUCGGGGAAAUGUCACGCGAUGAAUACCGGAGUCCUGUUAGCCUGCUACAGCCCGGUUCACCGGAGUCCUGCUAGCCCAGUGCUACAACCUGGAUUCACUCGCUGAUGACCGACACGUUCGAUGUUGGGUCAUGGAUGCAUGUCCCUGUAAGUUUGUGCCACUUUGGGUUUACGACUAGCCAUGUCAGCCCGGGCUCCUUAUCAUAUGGAUGCUAGCGACACUAUCAUAUACGUGUGCCAAAAGGCGCAAACGGUCCCGGGCAAAGGUAAGGUGACACCCGCGGGAAUACCGUGCGUGAGGCCGCAAAGUGAUAUGAGGUGUUACAUGCUAGAUCGAUGUGGCAUUGAGUCGGGGUCCUGACAAUUAUGCUCAUAUUGCUUAGCCAUGCUCAUAGACGGGGAUUGGUAUGUGAGAUUCAUGAAAGAUGCGAGAGAUAAUAAUUAAGGGUAACUUAAGGUGGCAACAUUAACACACAUCUGGGUGGAAUGGUUGGGGCACCCUGGGGAUACCAGUGGCUUGCCCGGGCACCUGGGGAAUCCAGUGUUAUCCUAGGAGAUCCCGGGGUAUCCGUGUGAUCAUCCUAUGGAAUGCCACCCACGCUCAAAGGAAUCAUAAGAUUAUUCAUGCUAGAAACUUACAUGCGCAGCCACAAACCAUUAUGGGCUCUGGCAUAGUUGAGUAAGUUGUGGGAAAUCUUUCCAUGAUAGGCUAGCAGAUGUAGGGGAUUGUAGGUUUACUGGCCUAUCUAUCGGUUAAGGGGACCUCUUUAGAAAGACUGUGUCUCGAUCAUCCGGUUCUCAAACAUCAGGCAGUGCGAGAAAUUCAACGAAGGAGAUCGAUUCUUGUGGGGAAAAGUGCGCAAACCUCUGCAGAGUGUACAAACUAAUCAUUAUUAGCCGCGUCCCCGUUUAUGGACAUUUUGAGUAUCUCGUAUUUGAAUUAUUGGUUGAUCUCAUCACUCUAUUUAAUGAAAUUGUUGGGUUAUUAAUGAUUUGGUGAUUUUGGGAUUGAGUUGGGGAAACCUUCUCAAUAUGGGUAAUUUUUAACUUAGUAGUAAAUAAAAAUUUAUUCCUUUGUUGUAGGAAAAAAAGAGCUUUAUGCAAAAUUAAACUUAGAGCCUCCACCAGCCAAAUAUGCAUAUAGAGAUAGACAUUUUCGUUAUUAUUCUAUGGUGUGAAAUUGUCAGUACAUUCAAUGUACUGACCUACGUGGCUGCAACGUCUCAUGUUGCAGGAAUCUUACGACGAGUAAGUGAUACGUUAGGGUUACGAUGUUAACACUCAACUUUGCCGUUGGCGUUGUUGGGAACUCCACCACUUUGCUGUUACUUCCGCUAUAAGGAUUGGUGUAUUAGCAUUUACGUUACUUUAUACAUGUGAUUUACCUCUGUUAUAAAUCCUCGAGUAUUGUGUGUGUCAGCAUGCCAUUCCAGGGAUGACAGUUAAACAUAGAGACUUCGAUCCAUUCGGGUCGGGUCGCUACACAUGUUUGCAAUGACAAUUAGAGAUUAUAGUUUCUCAUGCCAUGCAUAAGUAGCUGGGAGUGGAUAAUGAUUUAUCUUGGAUAUCAACAUAGCAUUAAAAUGAUUGUGAUGUAGUAUGAUGAUAUGGUACCCUCCUCUGAAUGUUCGAGUGGCUUGACUAGCCACAUGUUCAUGCAUAUAGUUGAAUCAAAACCAACAUAGCCUCUAUGAUAUUUAUGUUCAUGGUGUUCAUAUCCUACUCAUGCUAGUGUACAAUGUUACUUAUGCAUAAUGCAUGGUUAUGAUCGUUGUUGCUCUCUAGCUGGCCGCAUCUCAAUCUAAUUGCUAGCCUUCGCCUGUACUAAGUGGGAACUCUGCUUGUACAUAAAAAACCUUAAACCCAAAGUUAUUCCAGAUGACUCCACCAUACCUACCUAUAUGCGGUAUUACUCUGCCGUCCUAAGUAAAUUUGCAUGUGCCACCUCUAAAAACUUCUAAAAAUUAUCCUUUUUGCGUGCCUAGAUCGUUCAUGGAACGAUAGGAGGUGGUCGAUAUCUUCCAUGCUAAGCGGGUUAUUCUCAGGUCGAGUGUUUAUUCACUUGCCAUCGCACGAGAAAAUGGGCGGUAAUAGGGAUGCCCAGUCCCAAACUGCAAACAUGAAAAAGGAGUUCAUCUCUUGAAUAAUCAAACAAAAACUCCCAAUGGAGUCAAAACCUUUACUUUUAUCGCUUGGGAACCGCCACUAGCGUGCUUAGCAUGGAAGAUGUUGAUAACUGAUGGUCGUGAAGUGAAUAAGAAUGGUGCAUGUCUCAAAAUAUCAUUUACCUCUGUUUUAAAAAUUGAGCUCUGGCACCUUUGGAAAUCACUGCUUCCCUCUGCGAAGGGACUUUCUAUUUACUUUUAUGUUGUGUCAUCACCUUCUAAAACAAGCGCUAGAAACUGAGGGAGCACAAUUGUCAUGAUAUAUGCAUUGUGUGUAGGGUGCAUCAUGAGUGGAUCUUUUCUACCAUUAAUUACAAUGUUUAGUCGCUGCUUGAACUUUAGAGGUGCUCUGCAUUUAUGUUUUGCAGUCUCAGAAAGGGCUAGCGAGAUACCACUAUUGCCAUAUUAUAUCAUGGUUGUUUUGACAACGUGUUGCUGUUUGAGAUCUCUUAUUAUCGCUCGCUAGAUGAUUAUGUCAUUGAUAUGAGUUAAUAUAAUCUUUAAGUGUUAUUAUCGACAUGGUUAGUUAUAAUGCUGGCUGAAAACCUGGGUGCUUUUUAAGCCUAUUUAUGCAAACAAAAGCAAAAGAGUUCGUAAAAGUUUUUCUUUCUCACUUUCAGUUUAUCAACUGAAUUGCUUGAGGACAAACAAAGGUUUAAGCUUGGGGGAGUUGAUACGUCUCCAAUGUAUCUACUUUUUCUCACGCUUUUCCUCUUGUUUUGGACUCUAAUUUGCAUGAUUUGAAUGAAACUAACCCUGGACUGACGCUGUUUUUAGCAGAACUACUAUAGUGUUGUUUUUGUGCAGAAAUAAAAGUUCUCGGAAUGAAACGAAACUUUGCGAGGAAUUUUUAUGGAAUAAAAGAGAAUUACUGGAGCCAAGACCCACCAGAGAGGCGCCCUGGGUGGGCACAACCCACCAGGGCGCGCCCCCAUCUCCUGGCGCGCCCAGGUGGGUUAUACCCACCUGGUGGCCCCGCAGGCGAUCCCCCUGAUACUAUAAAAUCACAUUAUUCCAGAAAAAAUCAGGGAGAAAGAAUUAUUGCAUUCCACGAGACGGAGCCGCUGCCAAGCCCUGUUCUUCCUCGGGAGGGCAUAUUUGGAGUCCGUUUGGGGCUCCGGAGAGGGGGAUCUUUGUUCUUUGUCAUCACCAACCCAUCUCCAUCGCCAAUUCCAUGAUGCUCCCUACCGGGAGUGAGUAAUUCCUUCAUAGGCUCGCUGGUCGGUGAGGAGUUGGAUGAGAUUCAUCAUGUAAUCGAGUUAGUUUUGUUAAGGCUUGAUCCCUAGUAUCCACUAUGUUCUUAGAUUGAUGUUGCUAUGACUUUGCUAUGCUUAAUGCUUGUCACUUUGGGCACGGGUGCCAUGAACUCAGAUCUGAACCGUUUACGAAUUCAUCAUUAUAUCCAUGUUUUAGAUCCGAUCUUGCAAGUUAUAGUCACCUACUACGUGUUAUGAUCCGACAACCCCGGAGUGACAACAACCGGGCCCACUCUCGGUGAUGACCGUAGUUUGAGGAGUUCAUGUAUUCACUAUGUGUUAAUGCUUUGUUCCGGUUCUCUAUUAAAAGGAGGCCUUAAUAUCCCUUAGUUUGCAAUAUGGACCCCGCUGCCACGGAAGGGUAGGACAAAAGAUGGCAUGCAAGUUCUUUUAAUAAAGCACGCAUGACUAUUUACGGAAUACAUGCCUACAUUAUAUCGAUGAACUGGAGCUAGAGUCGUAUCGCCCUAGGUUAUAACUGUCACAUGAUGAAUAUCAUCCAACAAGUCACGAAUCCAAUGCCUACGAGUUUAUCCUAUAUUGUUUAUGCUAAGCUACUACUGCUAUCAUCAUUGUUACACUUGCCACGAGAUUACUGCUAUCACUGUUACUGUUACCGUUGUUGUUGUCACUAUUAUCAAAACUAUCAAGCUACUCUGCUACUGAUUACUUGCUGCAGAUAAUUAAUCUCUAGGUGUGGUUGAAUUGACAACUCAGCUGCUAAUACCUUCAAAUAUUCUUUGGCUCCCCUUGUGUCAAAUCUAUAAAUUUGGGUUGAGUACUCUACCCUCGAAAACUGUUGCGAUCCCCUAUACUCGUUAAUUGCAAUCCCCUUGUACUCGUUAUCAACGAUUCGAGCCUUCUGAUCCUCGUACGAGGAAGCAAGAACUUAGACGUCGUCAUCCCCAGGGGUGAUACGAUUCUCUAUGUAUGAGAAAUACAUCUAUCCAUAUUUAGUUUAAGACUUUUCUUCAUGUGUGAGCCAUUAUCUAUGUAUGAGACAUGCUUCUGUCUAUGUUACUUCCGCACUUGUUUACAUGUGUGAGGCCCAUUAUCUAUGUAUGAGACACUUAUUUCCAUGUUACUUUCAAGUUUGCUAGUUGAUAUGAAAAUUCUCAUGAAGAUAUUGCAAAACAAUAGAAAUUAGGACACACUUCAACAGGAAAUUAAGAUACAACAUAAUGUUCGAACAACCACUAGAUGAAGUCAUCAUCACUAUUCUCGCUUACAUGGUUCUUUCAAAGAUCUUUACGGUUGCGUACAAAUGUUACCUGAACUAGUUUCCCACGCAUAAACUCAUCAGCGGAAUCAUAACCAGCAUCAGCGCCCUUCGAUUAUGCUACAUUGUUACUUGAUCUACCACUCUUUGAGCUUGCGCAACCCUUCGAUCUAUUUUGAGCUUUUUUGCUUGGCAUAAAGUCAUCAUCAUCACUCUUCACUUUGCUAGAACUACCGUCACCCUUCUCAGAUGCAACAUGAGUCUUGCGUUUGUUCUGAGCUUGUUUGCUUGGCAUAAAAUCAUCAUCGUCUUCACUCACUUUCUUUGAGCUUGCGUCACCCCUCACCGAUGCAACAUUAUCCCGCGACAUCCUCAACUCUGGUAUAGGGCCCCAGACACACUUCAUACACUCGAAGUUGAAUAUGUCCUUGUUCAACAAUUCCGCCUCCUCGGGGUACCUCUGGAAAUAAGAAACAACAAUGAAAUAUACGGUCUGACUGGGUGCAACCUUAAAUGACAUAUCAAUUACCUUAACGUGGUCCUCAUAUUCCUUAUGUGGAAAAUUUAUUUUUGGAUUGUCAGGAAGUAAAGGCCUACCAGUAAUGCGGGCACUCAUAUGUUUGAGUUCAACAAUCCUAUCCCACCUUCCACGCAAACGAAAAAGUUCUUGUCAAAUUUACUCUGUGUUCCUUUCCGGGCACUUCUCCGGGAGCCCGGGCAACAUGCGAAGGGGAGGGGGGGUUAUAGAAUGAGGGUAAGGGGCUGGGGGGAAUUGGGCAAGAAGAAUGGUGGAUGAAGAAAGGAAAAAAAGGACUCCUCAGUCACGAGAAAGCCAAAGAAUACACUUCGGCCUGGUUUAGGCCAACAUGCAACUUCGGCCUUCUAUUUACGCGAAGUGGUGGGCCCUGUAGCACUCUUCAGCUGAGCGAAAACCGAAGAGGUCUCUUCAGCCCUGGGCGUCGGUUUUCGGUCUAAGGUAGACCGAAAUGCACUCGUCGACCUAAGCAUGGCCGAAGUGUACUAGUUCGGUCUAAGGGAGACUGAAAAGCUCCUCUUCGGCCUUAGCGAGGCCGACGGGGAACUUUUAAAAUUUACAAAUUAGGGCAUACAUUUUUCGAAUUUAUAAAAAAAGACAUUUAAAAAAACCCAUAUAUGAAACCAAACUCCAAGUUGUGAUUCUCGUUAGCUGUCCAAGUGGCCCCGUCCCUGGCCUGAGCCAGCUACCAGCCAACCUAUGCAUGCAGCCCAAUCACUCGAGACAGCUGAACCUUUGUAGCCUUGUCCAGCUACUAGACCCCAGCCAAGGACGAGAACAUGAUAUCGGGUCAGCACGACGCAAAGGAAAAACACCUUUUUCGAGUCCUUUUAUUUUACUCCUAUUCAUCAUUGGAGUACCGUGCCCACGUAGUUAACGAUAAAUAUGGUGAACCAGCACUUGAAAUCUCUCACUCACCAACGGCAAAAAUAGGAGUAGGUACAUAGAGUGGGAAGCAAGAAACGCCAAAAACGGGAGAAGAGAUUCCGUUCCGUUCCGUUCCUUGUCUUGUCCAAAACCUACCACCCGUCCGCUCCGAGGCUGACCAACGGCAGGAAUCUUGUUCUCGCGGCUGUUCACGCCGUCACGCCAGAUUCCCUUUGAAUCUUCUUCCCAGCUCAGUUGGCGCCACAAAGCUUUCUUCGUUCACAGUGGUUGGCACUUGGCGCCACAACCGCAUGCCUGCACAUCCGUGGUUCACGAGAGCACCAAAAUCGACGUGUACGCCUGGGAAAAUCCACUGAAAAUCACUCGUUCUGAUUAAAUAUUCUGUGGUGCGCCUGCCGUGUCACGUCCUUGUGGGCGCGUCUGCAUUGCUGCAGCGUGCACGUCUCGUGUCACGCUGCCAUGGUUCGUGCGUGCGUACGUGACAGGGCCCGGCAACAGCGACCAAGCCACGGUACUGGACAAAGGCACAAGGCACCGUGCGUGGUUCACUGCUUUGCCCGGACGGACAGAACGAAACACCAACCCAGAAACGAUCACAAUCAACCCCUUUUAUUUCGACUGAAACGUCUCCUUUAUCCUCCUGCGUGUACCCAUCAGUGGAUGGAUCAAUGGUGAGCCUUGUUAAUUACAAAUAAUUAGAAAUAAUUUGGGUGCACGCAGGCACGUACGUCACGCAGGCCCGUCCAUGCGGGGCCUCUGAGAGAUCGAGAUCUCAGGCUGAUGAGCCAGAGGCGUGUCGUGCGGCCGGGCGAUAGGAUUGAGCUCACGUCCCUUUCCGACCGGCACUGAUUGAUUUUUUUCACUGAUUUGGCUAAGCAAACGAGAUAAUUAUGUGCAAUGUCAGUAUAGUAUGUCCCAAAGCUAUCUAUCUCCAUCGAUCGGUUUCUAGGUUUCGUGCCACGAUUUGGUACGCCACCUCCAUCAGUUUCCUACCGACUUCCCUCGUGCUUAUCUACAUCUUGUGAAACUUGACCGGAGGCGUAUGCAUGCAAAGCCAUUGUUGUUAAUCCACUCUGAUGUGAAUGACGGUAAAAUCAACCAUAUCAACAGCCGGGCUCUAUAUGAUUCAUCCAGGGUUUGCACAAGUUCAAGAAGAGGAAGAAUGCACAAGUUCCUGCUUAUACCAUGACCAACAAAUUAACACACCAAUAUAAUCAUAAUUACACAGGUUUUAACCACCACAAAAAAGCAAGAAAGCCCCACGUAAAAUGUACACAUACGGUGAGGAGACCGGUCCAUCGAAAGAAUAACAAAUGUUCCAUGCGUGUACGUUUGCAUGCGUGGUAUGCAUGGCAAGUGCAGUGUACGUACGUACGUGCUUACUUUUGUGCAGCUACCUUGACACAGAGAGCGACCACAAAUUCACAAUAACUUAAAAUGUUUUCAUUACCAGCAGCAAGCUAGGUGGUAGCUUGGGUUGCUCUUGGACUCCGGCCGGCGGCGACCGAU